rnacentral:lncRNA from 1 species
UCUCCUUCAACUUAACUUGAAGUAAAUCCAAGUUACUGUAAUCACAUGACUCAGAAGUGAUGGACUGUAAAAUUGCCUUUGUUAUAGCAAUUGCAUCAAAAUUAUCAGAAACACAUACCCAUGCCUUGAGAUCAAAAGACUCGUUGAUGGUGGCGUCAUUGUAAACAAGCUGAGCAAGAGUUGUUUUAUCCAUCCCUCCCAUGCCCACGAUGGAAAGGACUGAAACUCCAUUGGAGGUAUCGCCUUUGAGCAACUCAGUCAUUUCUGUCUUCUCCUUGUGUCUACCGACAUACUCCACAGCUCCAUCCACGACGGAAGUUGGUUGCAGCCUAGGUUGCUUUCCCUUGGAGGUUGGAGCUUGAGACAAGAUGUCACUCAACCCCAAACUUCUUCUUCUAGUGGUCAAACUAUUCAGUCUAUCAGUGAUCUCUUUCACCUUUGGAAUCAUGGAAUUCUUAAACAGGAAAGAAGUGGGAGUGAAAUCACUACUGGUACAGCAGGUAGGAAUGAGUUUCCGUACCUUUCUAGUGCUGGCUUGAGAUUGAGGUUUUUGGAGCUUGAGACGUAACUCUUCAUAAGUGAACUCGUCCAAGAUGUUAUCCACAUCGUAAGCCAAGUCCUGGAGGUCGUCCAACCAUUUCUUCACACCCUCGUUCUUGAUCUGCUUCUCCUCAGUAUCGGUUAACACUGCUUGGAUAUCAGGCAAUAUGGACUGCCACUGCUUGAGCUGGUGGCGGAGUUGCUUAUGAUCAGCAACAAAGUUGAGUGCAGAGUUGAGCAACUUGCCCCCCAACAGCUCCAAAAACACAGACAGAGCAGCCUCUCCAAUGACAGACAUGAUGAAAUAAUGAUAAAGAAGGUGAAGAGAGGAUUGAAGAAGCCAAAAAAGGAAAUUCAGGGAAGAAAGAAGAAAGAAAUGGAGAUGGAUUCUGUAUAAUUAGUGAAAGUUGAAGAAGUCAGCUCAAUAAUUUUUUUGAGCAUCUAAUAAUUCAGACAACGAGGCAAUAAGGUGGAAGUCAACGAAUUCUGAUAAAUAAAAUAGAAAAUGGCUGAGGCAUCCACCGACAGUGUUUAUAAUAUGAAGAAAUGGAGAUGGAGAAUCUGUAUAAUUAGUGAAAGUUGAAGAAGUUGGCACAUGAUUUUUUUAGCAUCUAAUAAUUCAGACAAUAUCUUGAUCAAUUGACACUAAUAUAGCAAAUAUAAACCUGUGGUAAAAAACAACGACAACUAUAAAAAAUAGGAAAGAAAAUGAAUUAUUUGGUACUUAAAAAAUUGAUUAAAAAAUAUAUGGAUUUUUUUUGUAUUUUUCUUUUUAAUUAAAAGGGUUAGGUAUAUUGCACUCCCAAACAUAUACGUAGGUUUGAACAUUAGAAAUGAUAUUUUUCAAAGGGAAAGUUGUGAACUAAUGUAUUGUUGAACAUUGGAAAUAAUACUUCUUUUUAAUCUUCUGGAUUUCACAAAUGUUUGUUCUUCGAAAUCGUGCCCAAGAAAACCUGCAUAUCUUGAAAAACAAUGAAAAAAAUAGAAUUAAAAGUUUUGAUCUGGAAAAAAAAUAAAAUAAAAACAGAAUUAAAAGUUUAAAUUGAGAUUGCGAAAAUUUAAAAAUAUAGUUGAGGAAAAAGAUUUCUUAUGGACAAAUUCUAGGCUCCAGUUGUCUCGAUCCACCUAGGUUCAAUUCUUGGUUUUUAGGUGACCCUUCUCAAACAGAAUAAGUCAGUUAUAAUGGAAGAGGACACCUACGACCACUAGCUCCAAAAUUUUAGACUUAAGAUUUGGCGGAACCUGACUUUAGCCAACAAUCGCUUCUGUGGGACUAUCUUAUACCACGCCAUUUUGUCUCUUGGGCUCGCCAACCUCUGACGCAGUAAGCUAACGAAUUGACUGUGCAAACUUCCCAAAACGUACUGGGAAACCUAGUCUAUUACUAAUUAAAUUCUAAAAGAUAAAUAAAAGAUAAAUAAAGAUAAAUGCUAAAAUUGAAUCUAAAUAAUAAUCCUUAAUAAUUAUCCUAAUAUAAUUGGAAUUUAAAUAGAGUCUUUGUUAUAAACUCUUUUCUUUGCACUUUUGCCCCCAAAAUCUUCCACACUUUGCAUUUUCAGCACCACUUCUCUCCUACUUCGCAUGCUGGCCCAAUUUAUCUUUAAAUUCAUGUUUUUUGCCCCUAAAUUUCCUUUUGUAUUCAAUUUAGUCCCUAUAAGAUAAAGAACCAUAAAUAGCUCAAAUUAUUAGGAUCAUACUCUAAAUAAAUAUGUAAUUAAUACAUAAAAAUAUGUCAUUCUAGAGUAUUAUCAUGAACCCCGAACGUUAACUAUAAAACAGAUAUGAUAAUACAAAUUAAAAAAGGUAACAAAGAUAAAGAAAUCAUAGUUAAUAUUAAAAUGUACAAAACAAAUUUAAAUAAAGCUUUGAUUACAAUGACAAAAUUGAGGUAUUAUUGUUUCUAACAACAUAGGUUCAAAUAUCAUUAUUUGUAAUUUUUUAUUGAUUUUAUUAAAAAUAAGAAAAAGACAAAAUACCUUUAUAAUAAUAUAACUUAUUUAAAACAUACAAGAUUAUUUUCAUAAUUUCCCUAACUGAGUUAGUAUCACUUAACUCGUGACACCGAACCCAAUCAGGAUUAUAGAAGAAUAAUAAAUAUAAAAAAAAUUAGAAUAAAAUUAAGACUACAUUAUGCAUAUAUGCCAUUUUUUUUGGUUAAUUGGCCAAAUAGGCCAUUUUUUUCAAUAUUUAGGGAAAUAAGCCAAUUUUGGAGAGAGUGUGUGAAAGCGUAUCCAAUUGGACGAGCUUUUGCUAACAUGUCAAGAAACCGCGUGAAGCUGGAAGCGUUUUCUGAAAAUUCCAAAGAAAAUGCGUUCUGUUAGGCGCGUUUUCCUUGACAUGUCAACAAAAACUCAUCCAGUUGGACGUGCUUUCGUAACAACUGUGCAUGAGCUUUUCUGCCAACUGUGCAAAAAGUGUGCUCAGUUGGGCGCUUUUCAUACUCUCUCUCCAAAAUCGGCCUAUUUCACUAAAUCUUCAAAAAAAAAAAGGACCUAUUUGGCCAAUUAAAGAAAAAUAACAACAUAUAUGGCUAAUAUUGCUUGAAAUUAGAUCUUAUAAAAUAUUUUAAUUUAGUAUUUGUAAAUAAAAUAUUAUUGGAAUUCAUUUUUUAUAUAAUUUGAAAUGGUACCCUUGACCCCCAACCCUUAAAUUGAAAGAAAAUAUGCGUGCCAACAACUUUUUUGUAACGCCCCAAUUUUCAGGAAUUCUGUGAAUGUUGGCAUAGGUUUAAUUAUGUUUGUAGGCCUCUAGAAGGCCCAAGCUUAAGAUAGAACCCGGUAAUUUUAGUUAAUUUUUGUUCCAUAAGAAAAAUGGAGUGAAAUUAUGAAAUAGGACCUAUGUGAAAAUGUUUGAAAAUGCUAUAGGCUAAUUUGUAGUGGCCAAAUAAAUAGUAGUGCAAAAUAGGAGGAUUUGCAUGUCAAAUUCCCUACUUUUAAUGUAGUGGCCGGCCAAGGUGAUGGAUAGUUGAUAAUGUAUGCAUUUUAGCAUUUUAAUAGUUAAUGGAUGAUGGGCAUUAGCAUUUUAAUAGUUAAUGGAUGAUGGGCAUGGUAAGCAUUAUGGGCAUAUUUUUAUUGGAAUUAUGGCAUGAGUAUGGCACAAAUAUUAGUAUAUCAUUUAUGUGUCAUAAAAUGUUGAGUGAUAAGAAUAACAAAAGGAAGUAAAGGAAGGUUUUUGUUCAUUCUUUGUUCUUCAUAGCCGAAUUUGAGAGAGAGCAAAUAGGGGAGGAAACCCUUGAAUAUUCGGUCACUAGAAGGGGGAAAAAUUGAAGGUAAGUUCUUGGUACUUUGCUUCUAUCUUGAUGUUCAUGAGUUCUUCUUGAUUCUACCCUAACUCAUGAAGCAUAUUUUGGUUUUUGGUUGUUGUUUCAUGUUCUUUUGAUGAAAAAUGGAAGAUAGGUGAAGUUGAGCCAAACAAAUGAUCAUGCAUGUGCCUUUGAUGCUAAAGGGAAAAAUCGGCUAACAUGUUGUGCUUUAAAAUGAUGAAAUGGAGAUUAUGCUUAAGUAAAAAUCAUAGAUAUGUGAUGAUUGAUUGGUGAUAUACAUGUUUAAAUAACAUGCAUGCAAGAUAGGUGUAUGAAAGAGUGAUUUGGUAAUAAAUCUGCUUGGGACAGCAGCAGUAACGUGACUUUGGAAAAUCACCAUAAAUUGUGGGAGAUGAAUUAGAAGCUGAAUAAAUUAUGUAAUUAAAACUUAAUGAGUCUAGUUUCAAAUGAAAUAAACUAGAACAUAUUUUGAAUUCUGUACAAUGAGAAAUUUGAUUUGUAAUGAAGAGUGGUCAGAUUAGUCAAACAGUGAAACAUGGGAAACUUUAAGAAAAAUCUGGUAUUGAUUGGCCAUACCAAAAAUUCUGAAAAUUUUAUGGAUAUAAGAUACAUGAAUCUAUUUUCAGGGAAAAUUAACGGAACUUGAUUUGGAGUUUCGUAGCUCUAGUUUUAAAUGAUUUAGUGACUGUUGCUUAGGAAGACAGCUUGCAGUGAAAUUAUUAUUAUGUGAUAAACAUUGACAAAAAUUUGUUAAUGAGUUGCUUAUUGAUUUCUUAUAAGCUUACUAUGAUCUGUAGGUGUGGUUGGCCAAAUAUUGUAAGGGGUUAUUACGUAGUUUGUAUUUGAAUAGUUAGAUUAACGUGUUAGUAAUCCAAUUGUAGGCGGUUCGUGUGUAGAUCUCGUCAGCAUAUCGUCGCAAACAAGUGUGUAACUAACACCCUCUUUCUUAGUCUAGAUCGGCAAAAGUCGAAAAGCCAAAAUGCCAAAAACCGGUAUUUUGUAGAUUUGCGAGUGUGCGAAUGCUCGUGAGGUAAAUCGAUUAAUGUUUUUGGUAAGCUGCAAUGUUUGGACUGCAAAGUGCAUGAUUCUGUGCCCUUGAUAUUUUUGGGCUUAAUGGGCCAAAAUUGGAAUGAUGGGCCAACGGGCCCAAUUCGGUAAGAACCCUCGGUAGUGAUUCUGUUAGUACGUGAAAGGUAGGAAUAUGCAUGAGAAACCCUAAAAUAGAUAAAUUAAUGAAAUACCUUUAAAAGUGGAAAAUUUAUAGUUUUACCCCUAGGAGAUAAAUUAUCGAAAUACCCCUAGGGUUAAAUUGACCUAAAUGCAUGUUUGACUGUUGUUAUUUACUGCAUGCCAUGUUGUUAUUAUCUGAUGCAUGGGACUGGGAUAUUGACGGAGGAAGUACUGAAAGUGGCUUGUCCACAUACUGGAGGCUUUGCCUCAAUUUACUGUGAACUAAGCAGCAAGGCUACAACUGUGGAGUGUUGGGCUGGGUGGGUUGAGCUAUUCCCCGCAUGGAGUGUAUGGCUGGUACGGGUGGAGUGUAGUGGUUGGUGGGUUGAGUAGUCUCCCCAAAUGGGCUUGCAUAUGUUUACUGAUGUUGCAUGUAUUUUGAAAUGGGCCUAUGGGCCAUACUGUUAUCUGAAUAAGAGGCUAAGGCCCAGUUUAUUGUAAUCUGAAAAGGGCUCUGGCCUAGUACCACUGUUACCUGAAUGGGCUUAGGCCCAAUGGGCUUGAGCUGACUUGGGCUUUGAAUGGGUUUUCCUUACACACUGAGUUUCCCCAAACUCACCCUUUCUUUAACCUUGCGGCGAGCCUUGAUGUGGGUGAUUUGGAGCUGGAGGGGAUUUAGAGUGGCCAUGGUGAACGCUUUUGGGUUUGAAAAAGAGACUGGUUUUCUUAAGUUAUUUUUAAUUACUAUUUAAUUUUUGGGUUGUAAUAAGGCCAUUUUAACUUUAUUUUCUUCUUUGAUUUUCUGGGAUUAUAUUAUUUUAAACAACUUUAAAUUGAUGGAUAAUAAUUCAAAUGGGCUAGACUUAGGGCACGAUUUCAAAAUGAUACUUGUUUUUUUUUUAAAAUAACACGAUGUCACGAAUAUUCAAUUUACCAAAGAUAACCACUCAAAGAAAUUUCAACUUGUUAUAACCAAGUGUGGUAAUGGAUGCGGACAUGUCUAGGAUUGGAUCCAAUCAGAGAGCUUGGUACUUAAGUAGCCUUCAUGGCUCACCUUCUCUUUUCCGGUUUCCUACCUGGUGCCCAGCUUCCAUUCACUUGGUUAGUUUGACAAAAGUCGGCUUUUAAAACACUGAAAAGGGAACACAGGUUUUUGACUUCAAUGUGGCACAUCGGAUUCGGGCUUAACGUCUGGGCCGGGUUUGGGGUGCUACAUUUAGUGGUAUCAGAGCCUGGUUACAACAACUCGGCUGUGGAUCGGGUCUAAAAAGGGUUUUCAAAACUUUAUGCCAAAAAAAAGAUGGUAUUUUUGGAAAAAUCUGACUUUUGUAAUUUCCUGUUUAAAGUAGAUAAUCUCCGAACUUGUUUUUUUUAACAAAAAUGUUUGGAAAAUGGAUUUCAAAAAGUCUAAAUCUUUUGAGUUUAUCUGAAAACUGCUGAGGUGGCACACUGAAUCCCCGGCACCAAGGCUGUAAGUACUAUUCUGUUUUAUAUACUAAACUGUACUGUAGUUAGUACUAAACCUUAGAGAUAGUACUAUAGAUAAUAUAGCGUAAAGGCUACGAAACUGAGACUGUAGGGUAAAAUAAGCCCUAGGAAACUAAGACAGUAGCUAAACUGUGGUUACGCGAGAACAACUCUGAAACCUUAUCUGUUCAUAAGAUAUUCUGUAAUAAAUAGUGGAAACAGUAAACUAACUGCAUAAAAUUCGUAAUCAGAUAAAUCGAUAUGAGUACGAGAGCUACUCGGGGAAGAGGCCGUGGUCGAGGCCGAGGUAGUAUUCAAGCUGGAUCUUCGUCUUCUGAACACAUACCCACUAGAGUAGCACGACCACUACCGGUGGAUGAGAAUGGGCCGUAUGAUCGGGCCGCGGGGGAUGACGCUCUAUCCCAGGCCAUGUUAAGAGUUUUGGAAAGGGUGGCCGGAGCUAAUAUCGGGCCCAUGAAUAGGAGGUCCAUUUCUGAGCGACUCCGGGCCAACGGAGUGGAAGUUUUUAGGGGUGUAUCUGAAGUAGCCCCAAAUGUGGCUGAGUACUGGCUGGAAGCCACGGGGCGGAUUAUGGAUGACUUGGAUUGCUCAGUAGAACAAAAGUUAAAGGAAGCAGUAUCCUUACUACGGGACGAGGCGUAUCAAUGGUGGAUCACUGUGAGAGAGGGUACCCCAGCUGAGAGGGUAACUUGGGAGUUGUUUAAGUAGUCCUUCAAGGUGAAGUAUGUCGGAGCUAGCUAUGUGGAUGUGCGAAGGAAGGAAUUCCUGAACCUGACCUAGGGUGGUAAGACCAUUGCUGAAUAUGAGGCAGAGUUUCUGCGAUUGAGCCGGUAUGCUAAUGGUAUUGUCUCUACUGAAUACAAGCGCAGUGUUCACUUUGAGAAUGGCCUCAGGGAUGAGGUAAGGGUGCUCAUAGCUCCGCAGAGAGAGCGCGAUUUUGCUGCACUGGUAGAAAAGGCUAAGAUAGCCGAAAAGGUGAAGCAAGCUGAACGAAGGAACCGCGACAGGGAUCGAAACCGGUUCAGGAGAGAUGCUGGACCAACUGGUGUUGCAAACCGGAAUGUUAAGAGAGCUAGGAUGGAGGAAUCAGUUCGAGCGGUUCCGGUGAACACUGUUAGACCACAAGCUUGUGGAGAUUGUGGUAGAAUGUAUCUGGAGGAAUGUUGGAAACAUUCUGGGGCUUGUCUUUGUUGUGGAUCAAAGGAACAUAAGAUCAGGGAUUGUCCUAAGAGGCUAACUCAGGCUCAAGUGGUUGAACAAAGGGCUGUGCAACCCGUGCAAACAACGCGAGGUAGACCGUCGCCGUCGAGAGGUCAUGGCCGAGGUCGCGGUGGCAAUAGCCAUGGACGUGGGGCACCUGGCAGGGGUACUGUUAACACUGAGGCUCGUCAGCCAGCUUUGGUAUAUGUUGCUCGUCACUGCGAGGAGGGUGACGCACCUGACGUCAUAACUGGUACGUUUUUUAUUUCUAACAUGCCGUAUACUGUCUUGGUGGAUGUUGGAUCUACUCAUUCCUAUGUUGCAUGUGCCAUAUCUAGGUCGUUGGGUGUGCACUCUGAGGAGAUUGUGAGUGGGGUAUCUGUACUAAGUCCUUUGGGUCACUCGGUUAGGGUAGACAAACUGUAUAGGGAUGUACCCUUAGGAACUCAAGGUAAGAUUUUCCCUGGAGAUCUGAUGGAGUUACCGUUCGGAGAGUUUGAUCUCAUUUUGGGAAUGGACUGGCUUGUUAAGCAUAAAGCGACUCUAGAUUGUGCUGCUAAACGAAUGGUGUUAAGGACCACAAAGGAUGAGGAGGUUAUGGUGAUAAGUGAGCGAAGGGAUUAUUUGUCCAAUGUGGUGUCAGCAUUAAGAGCCGAAAAGUGGAUUUGAAAAGGUUGUGAGGUCUAUUUGGCAUUUGUAAGUCAGUCAGAAGAGGAGGGACUGACAGUGGAUAAGGUUAAGACCGUAAAGGAGUUCCAAGAUGUUUUUUCGGAUGAGCUUUCAGGAUUGCCUCCGAACCGAGAAGUUGAGUUUGGAAUAGACUUGCUGCUGGAACGGCGCCCGUGUCCAUCGCACCGUAUAGGAUGGCACCGAAGGAGUUAGUGGAGUUAAAGGCUCAAAUUCAAGAGUUGUUGGAUAGGGGAUUCAUUAGGCCAAGCGUGUCUCCAUGGGGAGCACCAGUGCUAUUCAUGAAAAAGAAGGAUGGUACGAUGCAGAUGUGCAUUGAUUAUCGCCAGUUGAACAAACUGAUGAUUAAAAAUAAGUAUCCACUGCCAAGGAUUGACGAUCUGUUCAACCAGCUUAGAGGAGCUUCUGUAUUUUCCAAGAUCGACCUUCGAUCUGGAUAUCAUCAGUUAAGGGUCAAGGAGGCAGAUAUCCAUAAGACAGCAUUCUGGACUCGGUAUGGUCAUUACGAGUUUCUGGUUAUGCUAUUUGGACUGACGAACGCUCUUGGAGCGUUUAUGGAUCUGAUGAAUCGUGUAUUCCAACCAUUUUUAGAUCAGUUCGUAGUCGUCUUUAUUGACGAUAUCCUGGUAUAUUUUGAAAAUGAAGCGAAACAUGAUGAGCAUCUCCGUAUAGUGCUGCAAGUGUUAAGGAAGAAGGAACUCUUUGCGAAGUUCAGUAAGUGUGAAUUUUGGUUGAGGGAGGUAACCUUCUUAGGACAUGUGGUCUCUGCUGAGGGGAUUAAGGUGGACCCUCAGAAAAUUGAAGCGAUUUUGGAGUGGAAGCCGCGUAGGUCAGUGUCGAAAAUACGGAGUUUCGUAGGACUGGCAGGAUACUACAGAAGGUUUGUGGAAGGUUUUUCUGUGAUGGCAGCACCCUUGACAAAACUCAUAAGGAAAGGAGUACCGUUUGUAUGGACUAAGAAGCAGCAGGAAGCUUUUGAGAAGUUAAAGAAAGUUCUGACUGAAGCGCCUGUGUUAAUUCAGUCGGAGUCUGGGAAGGAUUUUAGUGUGUACAGUGACGCAUCACACUUGGGUUUGGGCUGCGUGUUAAUGCAAGAGGGUAAGGUGAUUGCAUAUGUAUCACGACAGCUUAAGCCUCAUGAGGGGAACUAUCCGACUCAUGAUUUAGAGUUGGCAGCAGUGAUAUUUGCACUUAAGAUUUGAAGACAUUACUUGUACGGAGAAAGGUGUAUUAUAUACACUGACAAUAAGAGUCUUAUGUAUUUGUUGACUCAGAAGGAGCUGAACCUUAGGCAAAGAAGAUGGAUUGAGUUACUUAAGGAUUAUGACUGUUCGAUCGAGUAUCACCCAGGCAAGGCUAAUGUGGUAGCCGAUGCUCUAAGUCGUAGAGCUGUAUCUGAUCUGAGAGCAAUGUUUGCUCGUCUGAGUCUGUAUGAUGAUGGAAGUUUGUUGGCUGAGUUGCAAGUGAAGCCAACCUGGGUGGAUCAGAUUAAGGAAAAACAGUUGAAGGAUGAGUCUUUGGUCGCUCAUUUCCAACAAGUUAAGGAAGGGGAAACUUCUGAGUUUGGGUUAAAUGGCGAAGGAGUUCUGUGUUUCCGAGGAAGAAUUUGUGUUCCGAAGGACUCUGAUUUGAGGCAGACAAUAUUGAAGGAAGCUCAUGGAGGACUUUGUGCCAUGCAUCCUAGAGGACAAGUUGUAUCACGACUUGCGAGAAUUGUACUGGUGGCCUGGACUUAAACGAGAAGUAACAGAGUUCGUGGGGAAAUGUCUGACAUGCCAGCAAGUGAAAGCUAAACAUCAAUUUCCUUCUGGAUUACUGCAACCGAUAAAAAUUCCAUUGUGGAAGUGGGAGAGAGUCACUAUGGACUUUGUGAGUGGGCUACCUUUGACACCCACCAAGAAAGAUUCUGUGUGGGUAGUGGUGGAUAGGUUAACAAAAUAUGCCCAUUUCAUACCAGUUCGUACUGAUUACUCCCUGCAAAAGUUGGCUAGCUUGUAUGUGGCAGAGAUAGUGUGACUACAUGGAGUGACAGUGUCGAUUAUUUCCGACCGAGACCCUAGGUUUACAUCUCGGUUCUGGAAGAAGUUGCAGGAGGCAUUGUGUACACGUUUGGAUUUCAGUAUUGCCUUUCACCCACAGACAGAUGGACAGUCGGAGAGGGUUAUUCAGAUUUUGGAGGAUAUGUUAAGGGGUUGUAUCAUCGAUUUUCAUGGGAGUUGGGAGGACUACUUGCCAUUGGCGGAGUUUGCAUACAAUAACAGCUACCAAGCAAGUAUUCAGAUGGCUCCAUAUGAGGCACUUUAUGGGCGGAGAUGUUGUACGCCUACGUGUUGGACAGAGUUGGGUGAACUACAAGUGCUUGGACCAGAUUUGGUGGCAGAUACUGAAAGUAAGGUUAAGUUGAUAAGAGAUCGAUUAAAGGAGGCAUCUGAUAGACAGAAGUCGUAUGCGUAUCUAAAGCGCAAAGAGAUAGAGUUUGCAGUUGGGGAUAUGGUUUUCUUAAAGGUUUCACCUUGGAAGAAGAUCUUGAGAUUCGACAAGAAAGGAAAAUUGAGUCCGCGGUUUAUAAGGCCUUAUCGAGUUCUUAAGCGGGUAGGGCUAGUAGCGUAUCAGUUAGAAUUACCACCAGAGUUAGACAGAAUCCAUGACAUUUUUCAUGUGUCUAUGUUAAGACGAUAUCGAUCGGAUCCCUCACAUGUUGUGCCAGUAGACGAGAUUGAAGUAAGGACUGAUUUGACCUUUGAGGAAGAACCCAUACAAAUUUUAGAUCGAGAGGUUAAAGUUCUAAGAAGGAAGUCAAUUCCGUUGGUAAAAGUAUUGUGGCGUAAUCAUGGAAGGGAAGAAGUUACUUGGGAAUCAGAAGAGACUAUGCGUCAACAAUACCCUCAUCUGUUUGGAUCAGGUAAAUUUCGAGGACGAAAUUUCUUUAAGGAGGGUAGAGUUGUAACGCCCCAAUUUUCAGGAAUUCUGUGAAUGUUGGCAUAGGUUUAAUUAUGUUUGUAGGCCUCUAGAAGGCCCAAGCUUAAGAUAGAACCCGGUAAUUUUAGUUAAUUUUUGUUCCAUAAGAAAAAUGGAGUGAAAUUAUGAAAUAGGACCUAUGUGAAAAUGUUUGAAAAUGCUAUAGGCUAAUUUGUAGUGGCCAAAUAAAUAGUAGUGCAAAAUAGGAGGAUUUGCAUGUCAAAUUCCCCACUUUUAAUGUAGUGGCCGGCCAAGGUGAUGGAUAGUUGAUAAUGUAUGCAUUUUAGCAUUUUAAUAGUUAAUGGAUGAUGGGCAUUAGCAUUUUAAUAGUUAAUGGAUGAUGGGCAUGGUAAGCAUUAUGGGCAUAUUUUUAUUGGAAUUAUGGCAUGAGUAUGGCACAAAUAUUAGUAUAUCAUUUAUGUGUCAUAAAAUGUUGAGUGAUAAGAAUAACAAAAGGAAGUAAAGGAAGGUUUUUGUUCAUUCUUUGUUCUUCAUAGCCGAAUUUGAGAGAGAGCAAAUAGGGGAGGAAACCCUUGAAUAUUCGGUCACUAGAAGGGGGAAAAAUUGAAGGUAAGUUCUUGGUACUUUGCUUCUAUCUUGAUGUUCAUGAGUUCUUCUUGAUUCUACCCUAACUCAUGAAGCAUAUUUUGGUUUUUGGUUGUUGUUUCAUGUUCUUUUGAUGAAAAAUGGAAGAUAGGUGAAGUUGAGCCAAACAAAUGAGCAUGCAUGUGCUUAUAUGCUAAGGGGAAAAAUCGGCUAAUAUGUUGUGCUUUAAAAUGAUGAAAUGGAGAUUAUGCUUAAGUAAAAAUCAUAGAUAUGUGAUGAUUGAUUGGUGAUAUACAUGUUUAAAUAACAUGCAUACAAGAUAGGUGUAUGAAAGAGUGAUUUGGUAAUAAAUCUGCUUGGGACAGCAGCAGUAACGUGACUUUGGAAAAUCACCAUAAAUUGUGGGAGAUGAAUUAGAAGCUGAAUAAAUUAUGUAAUUAAAAAUUAAUGAGUCUAGUUUCAAAUGAAAUAAACUAGAACAUAUUUUGAAUUCUGUACAAUGAGAAAUUUGAUUUGUAAUGAAGAGUGGUCAAAUUAGUCAAACAGUGAAACAUGGGAAACUUUAAGAAAAAUCUGGUAUUGAUUGGCCAUACCAAAAAUUCUGAAAAUUUUAUGGAUAGAAGAUACAUGAGUCUAUUUUUAGGGAAAAUUAACGGAACUUGAUUUGGAGUUUUGUAGCUCCAGUUAUAAAUGAUUUAGUGACUGUUGCUCAGGAAGACAGCUUGCAGUGAAAUUAUGAUUAUGUGGUAAACAUUGACAAAAAUUUGUUAAUGAGUUGCUUAUUGAUUUCUUAUAAGCUUACUAUGAUAUGUAGGUGUGGUUGGCCGAAUAUUGUAAGGGGUUAUUACGUAGUUUGUAUUUGAAUAGUUAGAUUAACGUGUUAGUAAUCCAAUUGUAGGCGAUUCGUGUGUGGAUCUCGUCAGCAUAUCGUCGCGAACAGGUGUGUAACUAACACCCUCUUUCUUAGUCUAGAUCGGCAAAAGUCGAAAAGCCAAAAUGCCGAAAACCGGUAUUUUAUAGAUUUGCGAGUGUGCGAAUGCUCGUGAGGUAAAUCGAUUAAUGUUUUUGGUAAGCUGCAAUGUUUGGACUGCAAAGUGCAUGAUUUCUGUGCCCUCGAUAAUUUUGGGCUUAAUGGGCCAAAAUUGGAAUGAUGGGCCAACGGGCCCAAUUCGGUAAGAACCCUCGGUAGUGAUUCUGUUAGUACGUGAAAGGUAGGAAUAUGCAUGAGAAACCCUAAAAUAGAUAAAUUACUGAAAUACCUUUAAAAGUGGAAAAUUUAUAGUUUUACCCCUAGGAGAUAAAUUACCGAAAUACCCCUAGGGUUAAAUUGACCUAAAUGCAUGUUUGACUGUUGUUAUUUACUGCAUGCCAUGUUGUUAUUAUCUGAUGCAUGGGACUGGGAUAUUGACGGAGGAAGUACUGAAAGUGGCUUGUCUACGUACUGGAGGCUUUGCCUCAAUUUACUGUUAACUGAGCAGCAAGGCUGCAACUGUGGAGUGUUGGGCUGGGUGGGUUGAGCUAUUCCCCACAUGGAGUGUAUGGCUGGUACGGGUGGAGUGUAGUGGUUGGUGGGUUGAGUAGUCUCCCCAAAUGGGCUUGCAUAUGUUUACUGAUGUUGCAUGUAUUUUGAAAUGGGCCUAUGGACCAUACUGUUAUCUGAAUAAAGGGCUAAGGCCCAAUUUAUUGUAAUCUGAAAAGGGCUCUGGCCCAGUACCACUGUUACCUGAAUGGGCUUAGGCCCAAUGGGCUUGAGCUGACUUGGGCUUUGAAUGGGUUUUCCUUACACACUGAGUUUCCCCAAACUCACCCCUUCUUUAACCUUGCAGGUGAGCCUUGAUGUGGGUGACUUGGAGCCGGAGGGGAUUCAGAGUGGCCAUGGUGAACACUUUUGGGUUUGAAAAAGAGACUGGUUUUCUUAAGUUAUUUUUAAUUAUUAUUUAAUUUUUGGGUUGUAAUAAGGUCAUUUUAACUUUAUUUUCUUCUUUGAUUUUCUGGGAUUAUAUUAUUUUAAACAACUUUAAAUUGAUGGAUAAUAAUUCAAAUGGGCUAGACUUAGGGCACGAUUUCAAAACGAUACUUGUUUUUUUUUUUAAAAUAACACGAUGUCACGAAUAUUCAAUUUACCAAAGAUAACCACUCAAAGAAAUUUCAACUUGUUAUAACCAAGUGUGGCAAUGGAUGUGGACAUGUCUAGGAUUGGAUCCAAUCGGAAAGCUUGGUACUUAAGCAACCUUCAUGGCUCACCUUCUCUUUUCCGGUUUCCUACCUGGUGCCCAGCUUCCAUUCACUUGGUUAGUUUGACAAAAGUCAGCUUUUAAAACACUGAAAAGGGAACACGGGUUUUUGACUUCAAUGUGGCACAUCGAAUUCGAGCUUAACGUCUGGGCCGGGUUUGGGGUGCUACAUUUUUGGUCUAAUUGUAAGAGUAUUAUGUUGUAGGCAUUGUGACAGCCCUAAAGUGACCCUACUCGAGAAGUGGUUUCGGGGCCACAAAACCGAGUCAUAAAAAUAAUUAGCUGUCAUAUUUGAUGCUUAUUAUAUGUAUAUAUGCAUGUGUGAAAAUUUCAUGUUUGAAUUUUGUCAAUUGUUAGUGAAUUUUAUCAAAUAGGACUUAUGUGAGAAAAUUUAGAAAUGUGAUAGGCAAAUGUGAAAUGGCCUAUUAAUGCAUGUUGUGAAAAUGAUGGGUUUGCAUGUCAAUUUACCCAAAUUUAAGCUUAGUGGCCUGCCAUGCUAUGAGUGGAACCAUGUCACAAACAUGUUAUGUUAGUGAUGUAUGUUAGGAAAAAUAAAAUAAGGAGUAUGGGUAAUAAAGAAAUGGAAAAAAAAGGAAAGAAUGUGUGUGAUUGUCUCCCCCCCAUUGCCGUGAGUGGAAGAAAAGAAAACAAAAAAAAAAGUUUUCAUCCUUUGGUUCAUCCUUGGCCGAAAAUUCUAAGGAAGAAGGAAGGAGUUCUUGCUUCAUGUUUGGUUUGGAAGAGGAUUAGGAGGAGGUUCGGCCAUACUUGUAUCUAGAUUAAGGUAUGUUGAUGUUGUGCCAUGAGAUUCAUGCAUGUUUUUAGUUGCUAGCUUGAGUUCUAAUUAGCCAUGGUUCAAAUCUUAGCUAUGUCAUGGGGAUGAUAUUCGGCCAAGGUGGAUUUUGUAUUAAUGUCAUUGCAUGCUAAAUGUGAAGCUUGUUAAUGAUACAUGUGAUGGUGGAUUGAUUAACUCUUGGAUUUUCUUUUUAGCAUUUUUGAGUGAGACAUUAAGUUCUUUGUUUAACCAUGAUCAAAAUUGAAAUGGUAAGGUGUUGUGAUGUAUUCGGCCAUGGUAUAUCCAUAAGUAUGAUUUAUGCUUAUUGCAUGGUGGGUAAGAUUUGUGUUUUGGAUUUAUGUUUAUGUUUGGUUAUAAUCAACCUUGUGAUUCAGCUCUUACACAUAUAUAUAUGUUCGCACAUGAUGUAUUGGCAUGACAUAUAUAAUAUCUCAAGGUAUAUAUUUUCAUAUGAUGGUGUUUCGGUUAUGGAGUAAAUGAUGGAUGCGUAUUGAGUUAUAAUAUGUAAUACAUUAGUUAGUAAAAUGUAUGCCAUUUGUGUGUGGUAUUAAGUAUAUAAUUGGCCUCAACAUAAACAUGCAUAUUCGGCCACAUGAAUGAGUACAUAGGUUGAUGUGUUUGUUCGGCCAUAGGUAAGCAUAUUGAAGGAUUUAUCUUGACUUAGAAAAUUCGGCUAAGGAGAAUACUAACUAAUGUGUUGAGUUUGAUUCAUGAUUCCGUACAUAUGUGACUUUGAUGUCUAAUGAAUUAUAUAUGGGCUAAGUACCUUGAGUUCCUCUUUUCGAUGCUCAAAUGAUUAAAUCAAUUUAUUUGUUAAAUUAAGCUCAAGAGCAAAGGGGAACUAAAUCCGAUAAAGGGAAGGAAAAAGUGGUCGAAUAGCCAUCGAAAUCGUUCGACAACAUCCGAGGUAAGUUCUUGAGUAAUAGAGCUUAAAUUAUGAUUUGAUUAGAUCAUGUUUUAAGCAAAUCAAAAUCAUGCUCUUUGUGUGUGGCUAUUGAGCCGAAAUUGCAAGAGUGAUAAGUGUCUUGUGUUUGAGUUUUGCUAAUGAAAAUGAAAUACGAAUGUGUCAUGAUUUAUUGUUAAAUGUGCAUGGUUAUUCGAAUGAUGUCCGGGCUAAGUCCCGAAGGCUUUGUGCUAAGUGACCAUAUCCGGACUAAGAUCCGAAGGCAUUUGUACGAGUUACUAAUUCCGAGCUAAGCCCGAAGGCAUUGGUGCGAGUUACUAAAUCCGGGUUAAGUCCCGAAGGCAUUUGUGCGAGUUACUAUAACCGGGCUAUGUCCCGAAGGCAUUUGAACGAGUAGCUAUAUCCGGUUAAAUUCCGAAGGUACGUGAUUCGGGAAUGAGCGAUCUUGCUGUAAAAAUUUCAGUUAAUACGCUUGUAAAAUCCCAACAAUGAGGUAUGUUUCGUGUGUGCAUUGGAAUAGUUGAUUCCCUUCGAAUAAUAUUCGCUCAGUAAAUUUAUGAGUUUCUGGCCUUGGCUAAGUUGAUCUUUUGUUUGUGAAUAUAAGGGUUGGUAAUGUGAAGUAAUUAUGAUAUUGAGAAUUUGUGCAUAUGAAAUUAUCCGUUUAGUUAUAUGAAUGCUAUACUUCAGUUGUGCUUAAAUUCUUUGCCCAAACUUACUAAGCACUAAAUGCUUACUCCGUUUCUUUGAUUCUCUGUUUUAUAGAUUUUGGUUCGUCAGCUAUCGGACUCGGGAAUUUUGAAGUCGAAGUCGCCCACACUAUCAAAGCCCCUUUUGGUACACUUUUGGUUGAACUUUGAAAUGGCAUGUAUAGGACUACCCUUUUUGUUGUGGGUCAUGGACCCUUUGGAUUUGUAUAAUUUUGGAUAGCCAUGCGAAAAUGGCUUAUAUAUGUUUGAGCAUAAUGUUAUAAUCAUUUGGCAUGGAUAUGGUUAUUGAGAGGUGUGGAUAUGCUUAACAAGGAUUGGCCAUGGGAAUGGUUAAUCACUAUCAUAAUUGGUGCUAUUUAUGCUAAAAGGGCUAGUUGAAUCAUGGAAACUAUGAAAUAGGUAAAGUCUACCUUAAAGGAAGAUGCUGACAGCAGCAAUGAUGUAGAUUUGGAAAAUCAGUAAAAAUAAUAGGAAUGGAAUUAAAUAGUGAAUAAAUUAUGUAAACGAACCUUGAUGAAUAUAUUUUCAUAGGAAAGUAAUGAAACGAUCAUAUGAACAAUAUGUUAAGAGAUAUUCAGGUUUUCGUGAGACAGGGCCAGAAUGGUUUCUGGAUUCCCUGUUCCGACUUUGGAAAUUCAUUAUAAAUUAACCAGAGAUAAUUAGAAGUCAUGCCAUAUAUGCAUAGAUUCCUUUUUGAGUCUAGUUUCUAUAGAAACAAACGGCAUCAAUAUUGAAGCCCUGUACAGGGAGAUAUACAAGUCGUAAUGCGCAAAAGUCAGUGUAGUCGAUCCCUGUAACAUGGGAUACUUUGACUAAUAAACUGUACUAAUUGGCCCGACCAAAAAUUCUAGAAAAAAUUCGUAGAUGCAUAUAUGAGUCUAGUUUCAGGGAAAAAUCACGAAACUGAUUUUUGAGUUUUGAAACUCAAGAUAUGAUUUUUAAGGUGACAGUGACGCAGUUAGCCAGCUUGCCUGGAAAAUUUAAAAUGGAUUGUGCAAAGAAGUGAUUUAAGUCUGCAAACCCCUCGUGUCCGACUCCGGCGACGGACUCGGGUACGGGGUGUUACAGGCAUGAGAGCUUAGGUUCGAUCUCAAUCAACUCUAUUCCCUUCUCUCAAUUAUAAAGAAAAUAAAAAAAAUAAAUUUAAACGCUUUCAAACACAUCCUUUUGAUUUCCAUAAUAACAAUGGUGCCAACUAAGUUAAAGCUCAAUUAAUUGUUGGAAUUCAUUAUUAUAAUGGGGAGAGUAAAAAAGAAAAAAAGUAAACUAGGACACAUUUUUUUUAUUGUAAUAAUAGCAAUGGUACUGAAUUAAAGUUCAAUUAAUUGUUGGAAUUUGUUAAUAACGGGGAGAAUAUAAAAAAGAUAAACUACCCCCAUUAAUCACUCUUAAUAGGGAUUAUUCUUAUUUUAGUCAUCUUAUUUUUUUUUGUUAAUUUGGUCAGUAAAAAAAAUCGAUCAAAUUAAUCAAUCCACUGUUAAAAAUUGAUAGUGUAUUUCCACAUUAGUUACUCAAAUUUAAACUACUUAUUAAUUAUUCUAAAUAGUAGUUGUUCUUAAUCCUUAAAAUACUAUUUAAAGAUAAAAUGAUUAAUUUUCUUUCAAGAGCGACUAAAUUAAUAAUUUUUUUUGAAAUGAUUAAAAUAGAAAAGAAAGGAGCAUUAAAUAGUGUGCUUAAAAAGCACAUGAAGACAUCAAAGCUUCACAAUAAAUUAAGUAAUCCAAACAAAGUUAAGGAGCUGAAGAGUGACAUUAAGAAUCUCAUCCUAUUAACACUUCAUUUCUUAAAUAAAUUAAUUAAAAUUAUGGAGAAGCGAUAAGUAGUUAGAGCUUUUUUGUUUAAUAAUAGCAGGAAAAAGAAUAAGGGAAUAAAUUAUAUUAAAAUAAUCUUAAAAAAUAUAAUUUUUAAGCGUCAAUAAAAUAAUGACACAUCAUUAAUUUUAAAAAUAACAAAGUAUUAUUCUACAUUUAUCUAUAUUUAAUAUCUUCUCCACUUAAUUUAAAUUUGAUUAAAUUACUUAAAUUAAUUAAUUUUUAAAUUAUAAACAAAUAAUUUUUAUUCCUUUACAAAUUUUAAUCAUUUUGUUUUUUUCAUAAGUUAAUUUAUUUUUAAUUUUGUGCAACCAGUUUUUAAAAAAUUAAUAAUUUUUGUGCAAUUUUUUCUAUGUCAUUAACACAUAAUUUUGGUAAUUAUUUUACUUUGAACCCUGAACCCAGAAUUGUAAAUCUUGAACUCGAACCUUGAACCCCAAAGUUUAAGGUUUGGGUUUUAAGGUUCAAGGAUUGGGUUUGGAAUUCAAGGUUUAGGGUUUAAGGUUUUUAGUUAUGGGUUUGGGGUUACGGAUUAUGAGUUUGGGGUUCAUGGUUUAAAGAUUCGUGGUUACGAGUUCAUGUUUAGGGUUCUAAGUUUUGGGUUUGGGAUUCCAUAUUCAGGGCUCAAGGUAAAAAUUACCAAAAUUAUGUGUCAAUGGUAUGGAAAAAAUUGUUGAAAUGUGAUUAAAUAAUUAAAAAAAGACCAUGAAUAAUGUGGUGAAAAAUGUCCAUAAAAUAAUUUCUCUAUGGAUGAGUAUAUAAUAAUUUCAUAUAUUUAAAAUUUGAUGAUGUGUCAAAAUUUUAUUGGUGCUUAAAAAUUUUAAAUUUUAGAAUAACCUUUAUGUAAGUUAUUCCCAAAAAAUAAAUAUAUAUUUUUACAAAAAAUUAUUAUUUGUUAUGGUUUAAGUAAAACGAUAAAAUUGAUAACAUUAUUAUAAAAACAACAUUUUAGGUGAAAUAUAAUAGACAAAAUAUAACAUAAUAGACAAUAUUAAUUUUCUACUAUUAAUAUUACUUGAAUUAUAAAUAAAAUAACUGAAAUUUAUGUUAUAUAUAAAAUAUUGAAAUUUAUGGUUAGUAUUUUUUAUUACUUCAGUUUCAUUUAAGUACAUGAAAAAAAAAUUAUUAAAAAUAAGCGUGAAAUACCAAGGAAAUGUAAGAUUACUUAAAAAGAGAGAUAAAAUUGAAAUUACCCUUAUAUUCCAAAAUAUUGGUAUUAUUGAGAAUAUAAAAUUAUUGGCUCAAUGUAAUCUUUAAAACUCAAACGAUCGAAUAUUAUUUCAGAAUCUUACAUUACCCUAAAAAUGUGAGCUUGAAUCAAAUACUACUCUAAAAAUUUAUAAAAAUCAACCGUGUUUGGGAGAAGUGAAAAUUGACUUCUUUCCCAAACAUUUAGAUCAAAUUUGAAUUGUGAAAUCAAUAUUAUCGAGAGGUUUUACUUAAAUACCAUCUCAACAAGAUUAUUCUUAGACUGUAAAAUGGACGAGAACACCUAUGAUUAUAAAAAAAAAUAUAUAAGUUAAAAAUUCAAAUGCUUAUUCAUUUGUACAUAAAAGCAUUGUUGGGACAUUUUACCUAAAUAUCAUCCCGGUUAAAAUAAGAUUAAUAUUUAACAGUGCAAUGGAUGAAAACACUUAUAAUUAUAUAUAUAAAUUAAAAUUUUAAAUUGCACAGAAAGGUGGGGACUUAUUUAAAUAAAGUCAUAAAAUUUAAGAACCUUUUUUAUUAUUUUAACCAUGUAUUUUAAAAAUAUGGUAAAAAUAAUAUUUAAUACUUUAAUCAUUGUCCAUUGCACUAACCUUAAUCAAAAUAUAUAAAAACUCUCCUUGAUUAUUUCAGAUACAUUAUUUAAACUUAUUCCGAUGAUUAUCAAUCACCAUUAACAUAAAAUAGAAAUAACUCUUUUUUAUAUAAAAUUAAUAUACUAUAAAACCCUUAAUCUAUUACACCUUAUUUAAAUAAGUCCUUGUUCUUGGUCCCCAAAAAACCCGUCUUGAUUUCAAUUGAAUUACUUUUUUAAAAAAAUUAAAUAAAAAUUAAAUGUGGUUGUUAAAGAUAGGAGGAUUUAUGAGGGCAAAGGCCGAAGGCCCCCGCGGUACGAUACAGGCUGCACAAGUGAAAUCCAUAUAGAAGUAUGCUUCCUCUAUUUGAUGUUGAUUAGAACAAGGCGUUUUAACCUUGCUGCUACUUCUAUUUGACUUUGAAUAGAAUAUGGUUUUACAAACUUAUAAAUUUAUAGUCCUCUCUCCUAUUGUAUCAUUCAAAUUCGACAUGGUAAAUUUUCUUCUCCUCUAUCCAUGAUUUUUUUUCCAAAAAAGUUUCCACGUAAAUCUAUGGCUCUAACUACUUAUCGCUUCUCCAUCAAGAAUUUGAUUUUUCACGUUUUGUAAGAACAUUAAUUUCUUUUAAUAUUUGUUUAAAACAACUCAAUUAUUGAUACAUACAUUGUUUUGAUAACCUGGACUCAAUUAUUAAUGCCAAAUUUUCUUAAAGUCAACGUUGCACUACACAAUUUUAAAAUAAUUAAAAAUUAAACUAUUUUUUUUAAAAAAAUUGAACUAAUAUAACAAAUUAUUUAAAAUAAUAUAAAAUCAAAUACUUAUGGAGCACAUGAACACAACUUUUUUUUUUAUUUGUCAUGAAAGAUAAUCAAGAAUAAAAAGCAAAUGUGAACUUAAUCAAACAUUGUAAAAAAAAAAAGUAAUUAAGCUCUUUUUUUUAUUAACACUUAAUUAGGUACUUAAACUUUUAAAAUGCAUCAAAAAGAUCCUCAAACUUUAAUAAAAAACAAUUAAGCCACUACUUUUUUUACAUUCAAUUAGAUACUUAAACUGUCAAAAUGCAUUAAAAAGGUUCUUUGACCGUUAAAAUUAAUUGCCCCUAAUUUUUUCAGUUAAACUCACCACGUGUUACAAUCAUGGCGUGACAUGUGACAAAAAAUGAUAAAAAAUUAAUAAUAGUUAUAAAAAUUAUUAAAUUUUAAUAAAAAUAUAAAAUAUUAAAAAUUAUAAAAAUCGUAAAAGAAUUAUAAAAUAUAUAGAAACAUAAAAAAUUAUAAAAUUUUAUAAAUUCGUAAGAAAAUUAUAAAAAUUUAUUAUUUUAUUCACCCUUAAACCUAGAAAACAUAUCUAUAAUUAAUUUUGGUUUCAAUUAUGGCGGGGAAUAUUUUGUAUAUAAUCAAAAUUAAAAUAUUUAUUCAAUAAAUCUUUUUUAAAAUGUAUUAUUUUAUUAAAAAUGGUACUAAAUUGAUUGUAAAUUAAGUUAAGAUUAGAGGUUGAUAAUGCUCUAGAAUAACGUAUUUUUAUGUAUUAAUCAUGUGUUUAUUCUGAGCUUGAUCUUACUAAUUUGAGCUAUUUAUGUCUUUUUAUCUUUUAGGAACUGAUUUGGAGGCAAAAGCAAAAUUAAGGGACAAAAGUGCGAAUUUGGAGACACAAUGAGCUGACAUGCGACACAGGAAAAAGAUUGUGCCAAAAGUGCGAGCAUGGAAGACACAAGGACUAAAAAUGCAAAAAGAAGAGAUUUUAUUUUAUAAGACUCUAUUUUAUUUAUAUUAGGAUAAUUAAUAUUAAGAUAAUUAUUAGGAUAAUUUAAUUUUAAGAUUUAAUUUUAAUUAUCUUUAUUUAUCUUUAAUUAAAUGUAUUUAUCUUUUUAGAAUUUAAGUUAAAUUAUACUAUCUCCCUAGCACUAUAAAUAGGGGGUGAAGUGACUCUAUUUAGGGUGUUCAUCUUUUUUUGUAAACACUCUCCCCUGAAAGUCUAGGCUUUUGUUUCUUCAUAUUUUCUUUCAAUAAAAUUCCCUUUUCCAUUUUUAUAUUUAUUUUCUUUUCCACCAUUAUCAUGAGCCACUAAAACCUAUCUAGCCGAAAGUUGUCAAUAUUCCCCAAAAAGGGUUCUUGAGGCCUAGAAUCCGUACUUAGCCUUCUCGCCAAGUAGUCAUCGUUUCUCCGCACUACGGGCUGACGCUUCCAUCCAUGGCCUUUGAAGUAAGCUUUUCAGCAUAUGCAAAGGCGGCCGCUUUGUAUGUUUUAGAAGGAUUGCACAGUCAGUUCGUUAACUUACUGCGUCAGAGGUUGGCGAGCCAAAGAGACAAAAUGUUGUGGGAUUCGCCAUUGAGAAGCAUUGAUCUAGCAUAGAUUACUAGCUAGAGUCAGGUUCCUUAAAAAUCAUAAGUCUAAUCUUUGGAGCUGGUGGUCGUAGGCGUUCUCUUUUACUAUAACUGGCUUACUUGAGUUGAGAAGGGUUAUUUAAAAGCCGAGGAUUGAACUCAAGGCGGAAUGAGACAAUUGGAGGCUGGAAUCUACCAAUAAGAAUUUCUUUUCCUUUAACUCUCUUUAUUAUUUUUAUUAUUUUUGUAAUCACAAUUUCAGUCAACUUUAGAUUCUGUUUUUUUUAUUUUCUUUCCAAAUCAAAUCUUUAAUUCUGUUAUUUUUAUUUUUUUGUCACACAGGUUUUCUUGGGCACGAUUCUGCCUAGGAUUUCGAGAAACAAGCAUUCGUAUAAUCCGGUCUCUGAGGAUUCGACCCUACUUCCCCUUUACUUUUCUUUUUCAUUAUUUUGUCGGGAAUAGGAUAUUUUUGGUGCUGUCAACGACACAUCAGAGGUGCUCAUGAGUCAAGUUCGGGUCGGGUCUAAGUAUGAUAUUAACAUAUUUUAUACUUGCCCAAGCCUAGCUCGGCCUAAAAUAUAGACUUAAAAUUUUGUCCAAAACCGCCCAUAUUUAUAAAAGACUAACCUCAAGUCCAUUUUAGGCCCGCCCAUAUUAUUUUUAAUUUUUUUAAAAAAUUUUAUAUUAUAUUUGUAGCGACGUAAAAUUUUUUAGCUUGGCUUGGUCGUUAAUUGUGGCGAUUUAUUGAAAACUUGAAAACUGAAAUUUGAUUUUGAAAUAAAAAAGGGAGUCGCCACCGUUCCUUUUUUAUAGGUAUGAUCGGACACCUAAUAAAUUUGUUUUUAAAAUAAAAAGGAGGCCGAGUUUAGGUCUACGCCAAAAUUCAGAUAAAAAUUAGGGUUCGGGAGUCGGUUACGCGCGAGGAAAGUAUUAGCACCCUCGUGACGCCCAAAAUUGGUAUAUUAUAAAACACGUGUUGUCUUGAUUUUCAAAAAUAUGAGUUCAACGUAAGAUUUAAUUGAGAUCCGACCAGAACACGAGAACUUUUAAUUUUUUAUGUUUUUGAGAUACCGUUUUAACACGAGUCACUUGAUAUUCACCCAACAUAGCGAUGAAAUCGAUGACAUAGUGUAUAAAUCGGCAUGUUACCUUAUUUAUUAAAAAUAAUUAGAAAACAAGAAUAUGAUUUUCGAAGUAAUGCAAAGCAAUAUUGAUAAAAACAAAUAAAUGAAAGAAUUAGAAAUAUAUUGAAGCAAAUAACAAAUGUGAUAAUAAUUUUAAAAAAUGAUAAAAAUGCAUGCGAUAUUAAACGUAAUACUAGCAUUGAACAUGAAAGGGAAACAAUGAGCGUAUAUACAUAAUAAUGAUAUCAAGAGCAUGUACGUAAAAUAUAUAUGUAUAUAUAUAUGUAUAAGUAGUAAUAGUGUUAGAAAUAUACUACAUAUAGUGUUUGAAGUAUAUACUUAAGUUAGUAAUGUUAAAAUAUAUACAUAUAUAUGUAUAAAAUAAAUAUCGAAAAGUGUAUAAAAAUAAGAAAAUGGUACCUUAAUAAUAAGUACAUGAAAAUAUCUAUACAUAUACGUAAAUAAUAACAAUAAUAUUAAAAAUAAGUAGUAAUAAUGAAAAUAGUAAGAAUAGUAUGGUAUUAAGAGUAUACAUAUAAAAAUAAUAUUAAGAGUAUGUACAUACAAAAAAACGCGCUAAUAUUAAUACUGAUAAUAAGGAUAAUAUAGAAAAUAUAUACAUGAAAUAGUAUAAAAAUAUACACAAUUAAUUAAAAUAUAUACAUAUGCGUAUUACAAUACAUACAUAACAAAUAAAAAUAUAUGUAAUAUUAAAAAUAAAAAUACACCAUUAAAAGAUAUAAUAUAUAUAUGUACAUUCGAUAAAGAUGUAUACAUAAAACACAUGCUAAUAUUAAUAAUGAUAAUAGGAGUAGUGAAGAUAUAUACGUGAGAUAGGAUAAAAACAUAUAACUAAUAAUACUAACAAUAUAUACAAACUAUGUGCAAAAGCAUAUACGAUACAUAUAUAUAUUAGCAAUGAUAAUAAUGUAACAAAAAGACAAUUAUUGACAAUAUUACAUAAAGAUAUAUUAAAGUGAAUAUAUGAUAGUAUUAAAAAAACACGUGCAUAAUAAUAUACGUACUAUAUAUAAAUAAUAUAUGCAUAAUAUUAAAAUAGAGACAUAAUAUACAGAGAGAAGUAUAUAUAUAUAUAUAAAAAACAAAUGUACGUAAUAUAAUAUUAAGAUAUACGCGUAAAUGUAUAUAUAUAUUUAAAGAAUACAUAUGUGACAUACAAAUAUAUUUAAUAAAACAAUAAUAUUAAACUAUUAAUAAUACUAAAUAACAUAUAUAUGUAAAUAUUAAGUAAAAAUGACAAUGAUAAAAUAAUAGUAAUGACAUUAAUAAAAUGUAUUUGUAUAAAUAAUAUUGAGAUUAAAACAAAAUAAUGAGAAAAAGUAAAAAAAGGAUGAAAAUCGAAAACAAACGAAAUUUGGGGCGAAUUUGAAAAGAAACAAAGAGAAAAUGACCAAAUUGCAAAUGCGCGCAACCUAAGAGUACUGAAAACGCAAUAUUUCCCCAUCUUAAAAUGCAGCACGUGGCCGAGGACCAAAUUGAAGAGCGCGACAAACUCCACGAUCGAAUUAAAAGUAAAAAAAUAUCUGAUUGUAAUUGCAUGAAAAAGCGGAAGGGCUAAAAGCGCCAUUAGCCCUUUCGUUUAAAAACACGCGGAUCCUAAGCCGGAGCGGGUCGGAGCGGGUCGGGCUAUGGCAAAACGACGUCGUUUUGGGGUUAAAGGGCAGCCUCCAAAACAACGUCAUUUUGGGAGGCUAUAUAAGGCCAAAAUUUGUUUUAAAAAUUUCAUUUGCAACAAACAAAGGAAAAAAAAAGAGAGUGUGGGAAAUGGGAGGCGAUUUCCGGUGGGAAUUCCGGCCUUGCCCCGGUCAUCCGGCACCGGCCACCGUACACGGUGGCCGGAAAGGUAAAAAUUUUACUUUUUUUACUUUUUUUUUGUAUUUUUGUUAUGUAAUAUAUAUAUAUAUAUAGAUUUGUAGUAGAUGAGAAAAAAAGAAUGAUUCGGUUUCUUUUUUUAAAGUAAAAUCACCUUGUGCUUGAAUUUAGUUUUUGUUGUUUUGCCCUUCGAUUUGCUGUUUUGUUCUUGCUUUGGAGUCCCUGUUUUAUUUGUAUUUAGAAAUACUAUGUUUGUAUUGACUGGAAAUUUGGCCGACCUCCCUUACAACAUUUUGAUUCAGCUUUUAUAGCCUAUUUACAAGCUAUUUUUCUAUUGUUUUCUGUCCUUUCGUGUGUUUCUCUCGCAGGGCAGUUGAGCGGCGCUGCAAAGUUGGUGGCCGGUGCACAGGAGGUGUCAGGGGGUAGGUGGUUGCUGAAGUGUUCGGGUGGUGGCUAGGGUUAGAUAGCUUUUUUUGAAUUUGGUUUAGGGUUUGGGUGUAAUUGGGCUGUUGGGUAUUUGGGUUUUUUGAUGGGUUAGUGGGUUUAGGUUGUAAAUGGGUUUAGGGGUUUGUAUUGUUAGUUGGGUUAUUUGGGUUAUUGGGUAGUGGUUAGGUUGUAAAUGGGUUUAGGGGUUAUUUAUCUUGGGUCCAAGCCCGGGCAAAUAUUGGGCUAUACAAUAUUAUUUAAUAUUUAAUAAUUUUAUACAUUUUUUAUUUAUUGAAAUGUUUUAUAUAGUCAUCUUAACUUUAUUUUAAUGUUUGUAUUAUAUAUUUAGUAUAUGUAUUUUUUUAAUGUGUUCUAAAUUACACAAUAUAAAAUAUUAUAAACUUAAAAAUGGGCCAUCUUGGGCAUUGAAUGUUCAAGCCCGAGCGCAUCCCAUAUUUUAAGUGGGCCUAAUUUUUUUGUUCAAACCUAUUUUUUGAGCCUAAUAUUUUUAUCCAAACCCCCCUAAAUUUUAGACGGAAUUGUGCGGUUAGCCUAGCCCAUGAACAUGCCUAGUUAAGAUAUACUAAAAUGGAAAGUGAAAAAUUAGUAUUAAUGUAUCUAAUAUAUACUAAAAAUGAAUGAGAAAAAAAUGUAAGAUAGGAAAGAUUACAAUUAUGAAGAGGACAUAAAUAUAAAAGCUAUUAAAUGGUAAAGGAUUUGAAAGUAAAUUUAGCCAAAAUUUUAAUCUAAGGUUUAAUUGAGAAAGGAAAAUUCAAAGCAAUUAGAUGGUAGCUGCAAAUUUUUAAUUUCUUUUAAUGUUGUGCUUAUGCUUAUUUAGAGGGUGUAGAUAAUACUUUUCAAAGGACUUAUGUUAUCACCAAAAUCAAAUCAUACCAUUUCUUUAGAUUUAUUAUCAUUAAUAUUACUUACCAUUGAUAUGUAUGAAAUGAAUUUGUGAUUUAUUAUUUACAAUAUUUCAAAUUAUACAAUUUAAAUAAUAAUAAUGCAGUUAUAUUUAUAUAUGGGUAAAAGACUAUCAAAUUAUUAAUCAUAAUUCCCCUUUAUGUUUGUAAAAUAAAAUAUUUGAACCAUUUUAAAGGACUUAUGCAGGGAUCAAAUAUUAAAAUUUUGUAUUUUAUGCGUUAUUAAAAUUUGAAAUUCGUAUUGAUUUUGUUUUAUUGAAGAUUGAAUAAUCGAUUUAAAUCAAUUAAAAUUCCCGAAUUUGACACCAUUUUUUUUACCUUGCCAAAUAUGCGUAAAUCAGAAAAUUUGUGAUACAUUAUUUAGAAAUUUUUAAAUCAUAUUAUUAUGAUUCGAGAUGGUCAAAGUAAUUGCUUGUUUUAUCCUAUCUCACUAUAUGAAAUUAUCAUUUUAUCUUUAUAAAUAUAAUGAUUAUAAAGAUAAAAAUGUAAUAACGUGUUAUAAAAAAAUUCAUAAUGUAAUAAAUAGACUUGUUAUUUUCUUUGUUCACUCUUGAUUAUCUGAGCAUGUUUAAUCAAAUGCUUGAACGAGUUUUGAAUUCUUAACACAAUUAUGGUUUAAAGUAACCCAUUAUCAGGAAUUAAUGACUAUAUGCUGAUGCUCUGCUUGAGUCACCUUUUUUUUUUUUAAAUUGGAAGCAACACGAUAUGAAAUUAUCAUUUUAUUUUUGUAGAUAUAAUGAUUAUAAGGAUAAAAAUGUAAUAACAUGUUAUAAAAAAAACUAGAUGUUUUAUAUGUAAAUUUUUUUGAACAAUUAUGUUUAAAUUGAGGCAAAAUAGAGUAAAGUAGGAUGAGAUGGGGUAGGAAUGGAUGCUUGCAACAUCCAUGGAGAUGAUAGAGAUUUUCAAAAUUAUAUAUCCAUAAUGAAGCGGGUUAGAUGAUAGUAUACAACGUGCCAACUACAAAACAGUGAUAGAUUUAUCCUAGUCUUGUUUCAUUGUCAUUCCUAAGGGUGCAUUUCAAUUGGAUUAACUUUUGAUUUCGAAUUUUCAAUUUUAUAGUUCUAAUACAAAUUUGAUUUUUUUUAAUUCACUUGAAUUAAAAUCCGAUUCAAUUUGGUUUAAUACUAAAAAAACAACAAUCUAAAAGCUUCAAUUGCUAUUUGAAACUUGAAAGUCAGUACUAAAUAAAACAACAUUUAAGGGUCUCUUUUUCACUUUAACAAAGUAAUUAUAAACCCAACCAUUUUCAUAAGUACAUAUUCUAAUGUAACAUUUUGUUGUGGGUAUCAGCAGAGGAAGUCCGCUGCAAUUUUGGUAUGAGGACUUUUUCAAAGCACUUGGUGAUGGAUGGGGGAAAGUUUGUAAGGUUGAGGAGCAAACUAGGAACAGCACCAAAUUCGAUUAAGCGAGAAUGGUGAUCCAAGUCGAUAUCAGUUUGGCAAUUCCAUCAAAAGUUUCGGUAUGCAAUGGGACAAGAAGUUUGGCAUACGCAUUUCCCUUGAAAAUGCGGAGCCAGAUAGUGAAUGGAUUGAUGCAGGGUAACAAAUUCAACAGCUGCUCCUAUAGGAAUAAAUGGUUUCCAGCCAAUAAGCCUUGUUGGGUGUGCUUACAAGAUUCUAGCAGAAGUGUUAGAUGAACAGCUUAAAGUUCACAUGACUAUGAGAGAUGUGCUUACAAUAAGCACUAUUUUUGAAUAAUCAUGUUGGUGCUUCCUAAUAUUUUAAGUAAUGGGUGGAGAUGUAGAAAAAUUGAAAUGGAGUAGUAACUUGGAAGUGGCCAUGUUAGCUCGACCUUUUUUUAUUUUUUAUUUAAUCAUAUUUUAACAUUUUACAAAUAUUUCUUUAAUGGCUUGGAUUAUAUGAAAUUCAUUUUACAAAGCAUCAAGCUUUUCUUAAUGGGAACCAACUAUGAUAGUCGGUUCCGCACCAUGGUUUCAGUCGUACCAGCUGGUGCUACUGUUCUAGUAUUAUAGCGCAACAAGUAAUAUCCUUUUUUAUAUCGGUGAAAAAUUUAGUUUGUACCGUUUGAACCAAUUUGUUUCAGUCAAUUCUAAUCACACCAGCUGAAAUAUGGUGCACUUGUUGCUACAUGAAUAAUAUUAAAAAUAUAAAAUUCGUAACUACUUUUUCAUUAAGUUAAAGACUUAAUUAAAAUGUAUUCGACAAUAAAAAAUAUUACACUUAAAAAGUAAAUUAGUUUAACAUUUGAAAUUUUUCUAGAGCAUACUUUCAUAUUUAAAAUAUAAAAAUUAAAAUAUAAUUAAAAAAGCCCACCCACCUUACUAUCAAAGAAAAACUAUUCACUCAUCUUUUAGAUUCUUUUAUUGAAAAAAUCCCCUUUACCUUUUCACUUUUUUUGUAUUGUUGAUUUUAAAUUUAUUGAAUAAUGAAAUUUAAUUUGUGAAGUUCACUAAUUAGUAUUUUAUAUAAAAAAAACAAUCUAUCCACCAGUUUGGUAUUGAUUACUAUGUUUGUAAACUUUUUAGCAAAGAAAUGAGUUAAGUGCGUUGUGUUGGUAUUUUAUAACUAGUAUUUUAUAAUGUUUGAUGUCUUGUUUUCUUUUAGUAUUUUGCUUUGAUGCCUUUGAUUUGUGCUGAUAUUUGAGUGUAAUCAUCGAAUAUAGAUAGAAGCGAAUAUAACCUUAAAGUACACACUUUAGAGCCUUAUCUUAUUUCUUCAUUUUCUGGUUGAGUUUUAUUUGCGUGUGUUUGAGAUUUUCCUUACCGGUGAUUUAUACUAACAUGCUAUGCAAUGACUGUGGUUGCUUUAUUCAUAAAAUUAUGUUUUAGACUGAGAAAAAAAAAGUUAAGAAAUUCAAAACAUUAAAAAGAAAGUAGAGAAAGUGAACACAAUGAUUUACGUAGUUCAAAAAUAUUCCUUACAUCCACGGGUAGAACUAAAGGUAAAAUUCAAUAUUAAAAAAUAGAGAUUACAAUGAAAUUACAUCAUAAAGUAAAAUACCUCGCCACAAUAACUAUUCACAAACUUUGAGGAAUCUUUUAAAUCAACAUCAACUAUACACUUUCCACAUAUUGAGAAAUACCUGGAAAUAGUAAAUAACAAGUGACCAAUCUCAAAAUGUUAAAAGCAAUACUUUAUUUAAAACAUCCUAGCUGUUAUCUAUCAUCAAUGGAGAUUUAAGCCAGGUUCAUGAUUUGUCUAGAUAGAAAUAGAUGAUACUAAAAGCAUUAGAAAUAAAAACUUACCACUCCAUUCCUUUUGUCAACAUCUGCCGACCAACGACGUUGUGCCCAUUAGCUGGUAUUGCCCUCUUUGGAUGCCCACCAUUUUCAAGGGUUUAUCACCCAAAGGUACGUACACCUCCCCAGUGGUACCAUUUGGCCUUUUAUCUGUCAUGGUUCCCAAAGCUGAAUGAAAGUCCAAGGCUAAAUAAAUAACAUAUUUGGCUCUUCAACUACAACUAUGUUCCAAGCACCAAAAUAUGCUCCAACAGAGGAAAGGAAUGUCAGAAGAAUAAAUUCUCCAUAGAACCUAUACCUACCCUGUCAUAAACAUUGAUAACAUCACAGUUGAAGCCUUUCAAAGCAGCGGAAAUUCAUAUAAAGAUUGAUAGAAACCACUGUAGAUAGCCUGUGAAAAUGAUGAAUAUCACAAUUACCAUUAUCUGUCUAACAAAAACCGAAUAUUAGUGAAUCAAAAUCUUUGCCUGUGUUUUAAAGGGUUUCAUACAUGUGGUCUGAGCGUGACAAAAUAAGGGAUGCUCCGAAAAUUUGUGAUGAUUCAUCCAUAUAUAAUCACAAUGGUUGCACCCAACUGAUGCACUAGUAAGAGAAGCGUCUUGAUAUGAUGCAGAAACAAGAUGGAACUUCCUACUUUAUAUGCCAAUCUAUGGGACCAGAAAGCUGAAAAGCAACAUUGAAAGAGAGCUGCAGUGAAACUAGUUCCAAACUGCUAGAGUAUAUAUAUAUAUUAUUUUAUUCAUUUAACUCAUGCCUCAAAGUCAAAAGCAAGAGAGUCAAGAUAUAGUGGGUCACUUAGUCACUGCUAUUUUUGGCUACAAAAUGAAAUCACAUAAAGUAUUUUUGCACCUCUAAGUAAAAGCCUCGAGUUUGUUUAUGUCGCUCAAUCCACAUGAUCAAAAAAGAAAUUCCCCAUCAAGUGAACUGAUGCAGCCUUAGAAUGGAUUCAUGGUCUGAAAAAUUUGGAAAACUAAGAUGGACCACUUUGAGAUUGGACAGAACAAUUUUUGGGAAGUUCCAAGGAUGUAUAAUCUCAAUGUGACCAGUGUCUUACAAAUGAAACCCCAAAUAGAAGCUCAGUGAACUCUGUUGUGUUAAUGUUAAAUUGAGCUCUCUAAUGCCAUGUUGUAACGUGUUCUGUAUCCCUCCAUUAAUCUGCAAGGAUGAAACUACCACGUUAAAGACUUAUUCUGAAAAACCAUUGGUUAAUAGUACAAUGAAAUCUCAAGUAUUUUUAACUAAAAUCCCAUUCCCAUAUACCAACUUCAUAGCAACUUCUUAGAAAUUGGAAAAUGCAGAUAAAAACAGAACAUUCAAUUUGCUGAAUAAAUGUUACAGAGAAUUGACUAUCCGCCUUAAUAAAUCAAAUGAGCUGAAGCAGAUCAAUUGAAGGUCUCCUCUAUUUUUCGCCAGUUUUGCCUUUGUUGGAACAAUGGCAGCAGCAAACAUCAAACAAAGUUACAAAACUGUAUUUGUAAGACUGAAGCAAGAAGAAUCGAAGCAAAGAAAAGCAAAGCAAUGAACAAAAAUGAAUACUCAGCAAAGUUGUAACUGAACAUUACAUCUUUUUCAUUCAAAAUUUGAAUAUAUAAAAGAGUUACACAUUUUGGUUCAUUUGACAGUUACCUAAUGACAUAACUACUCCCACUUAAACUAAACUAAUACAAGCUUAAGUCAAAUACAAAAUAAGCUGACAUAUCAGCUUUUACAUCAUCAAUCCAAUCACAAACUUAAUCCAACUAACUAUUAAAGCUAGUUACAAUCAAACUGAACUAAGUUACAUCAAAACAAAACAGCAAUAUCAGUUGCUUCAUUUGGUCCAAAAACCAUUCGUGUGCACCAAGCAAAACGAGCUGAGCUCGAUAGCUGCUGGUCUCGACAGUAGCAUGCUUCCGGCUCCAUGUUGCAUUGCAGUCCAGCUUUCAACACUCCUCCUUGGACUGUAUGCAACACAUUCCAAUUGCACUUUUCAAAGAUUCAAAUCGAGCAGCCCCCAAGGACUUGGUCAUUAUGUCAGCCAAUUGUGCCCCUGAGCUGCAAUGCACAAGGCUGACUUCCUUUGCUUGUUCAGCCUCUCUAACAAAAUGCAGUUUGAUUUUAAAAUGCUUAGUCUUACCAUGGAACACAAGGUUCUUGGCUAUUGCAACUGCAGACUGAUUAUCCACCCAAAUUUCAGUUGCUUCAUCUUGAGUUUCAUUAAGGUCAUGAAGCAGCUUCCUUAGCCAAAUGGCCUAAUUAACUGCUCCUGCUGCAGCAAUGUAUUCUGCUUCAGCUGUGGACUGAGCAACAGUUUGCUGCUUUUUUGAACUCCAGCAAAACAUCCCCGAUCCAAGUGUGAAGAAGUAUCCUGAGGUACUCUUCAUGUCAUCGAGGGAUCUUGCCCAGUCAUUGUCAGAGUAGCCUUCUAGUUUCAGUUGGUUCCCACUUUCAAACAUUACACCAAAACUAGCAGUGCCCUUGAUGUAUCUAAGGACCCUCUUUGCUGCCUUCAAAUGUGCCUCAUUGCAACAAUGCAUAAAUCUCGAUAACAGGCUGACACCAAACAUGAUGUCUGGCCUGGUUGCUGUUAGAUACAACAGACAACCAACUAGGCUUCAAUAGUGCCUCUCAUCAACCCUCUGCUGAUCACCACUGCUAGUCAGCUUUUCUCCUUGGGCCACAGGUGUGCUGACUGCUUUACAGUUAUGCAUGCAGAAUUUGUCUAGGAUCUUCAAAGAAAAUGAGUGUUGGCUGAUGAAGAUACCUCGAUCAGACUGGUGAACUUCCAUGCCAAGGAAGUAAGUCAUGAUCCCCAAAUCUGUCAUUUUAAACACUUGCUGCAUUUGGACCUUGAACUCAUCAAUGAGCCCAACUUUGCUCCCUGUCACAAGCAAAUCAUCCACAUACAAGGAGACAAUCAGCAAGGUUUCAUGUUCUGACCUUUUAACAUACAGAGUAGGCUCACUAAGGCUCUUCACAAAUCCAAGUUUGGUCAGGUAAGCAUCAACUCUGUCAUACCAGGCCCUUGGUGCCUGUUUCAGGCCAUAGAGGGCCUUUCUCAACUUAUACACUUUGUCUUCAUGUCCAACAACUUCAAAACCUUCAGGUUGCUCGAUGAAGAUCUCCUCCUUGAGAAAACCAUUCAGGAAUGCUGAUUUGACAUCCAAUUGGUGAACUCUCCACUGCUUCUGAGCUGCUAAAGCAAACAUCAGCUUAAUUGUAUCCAGUCUUGCCACUGGAGCAAAAGUCUCCAAGUAGUCCACACCAUACUGCUGACUGUAGCCCUUCACCACAAGCUUGGCCUUAUGCUUGCUCAGUGAGCCAUCAGCAUUGUACUUGGCCCGGUACACCCAUUUUACUCCUAUGACCUUCUUGUGUUCUGGUCUGCUCACCAACACCCAAGUCUGAUUUUUAUUGAUCAUUUCCAACUCAGCUUCCAUAGCAUUCAUCCAGCUUCUGUCCUUGGCAGCCUCUUCAAAGUCUGAGGGCUCAAUCACAGCAACAUUGCACCUCUGAUAGACAUCAGCCAAAGUUCUGGUGCCCCUCACUGGUGUAUCAUCGACAGGAUCAUUACUUGGUCCUUCUUCUGCAGGUUCAGCAACCAAGUCUAACUGGUCCAAUUCAGACAAGUCAGCCUCAACACCAUUCCAAUUCCACACCUUUUCCUCAUCAAACUUUACAUCCCUGCUGACUAAAACCUUCUUUGCUGUAGGAUCAUACACUCUAUAGCCCUUCUUGUUGCUACUGUAGCCAACAAAGAUUCUUGGAGUAGGCCUGCUCUCGAGCUUGGUCCUCUUUUCCACUGGAAUAAAAGCAUAACACACACAGCCAAACACUUUCAAGUGUGUUACCACAGGUUUGACUCUAUGCCAAGCCUCAAAAGGAGUCUUAUCCUUGACUGCUCUAGUUGGCAGUCUGUUGAGCAGAUACACUGAGGUGUUGACUGCCUCAGCCCAAAACUGACUUGGAAGCUUGCCUUGAAACAAGAGGCACCUGGCCAUGUUCAGUACAGUCCUAUUCUUUCUCUCACAGACUCCAUUCUGUUGAGGAGUAUAGACUGUUGUGAGCUGAUGGUGAAUCCCAGCACUGUCACAAAGCUUCUGAAAUCUCUCAGACACAUAUUCAGAGCCAUUAUCAGUCCUCAAGGCUCUAAUUUUGCAGCCUGAUUGAUUUUCAGCAUAAGCCUUAAAUUUGCAGAAGGCUUCAAACACUUCUGACUUUUGCUUCAAGAAGUAGACCCAGCACAACCUUGUCAAAUCAUCUAUAAACAGGGCAAAGUACCUGUUCUCACUGAUUGAAGGUGUUCUCAUAGGGCCACAAAUAUCAGAGUGCACCAAUUCGAGCUUGUUUUGAGCUCUCCAAGCACUGUCAGCAGGAAAAGGCAGUCUAGCCUGCUUACCAAGCUGACAAACCUCACAAACAUUCCCACUAACUUCAAUUUUUGAAAUGUCAUCAACCAAAUUCAGCCUAUGUAACAAAUCGAUGGAUCUAAAAUUUGCAUGGCCUAGUCUCCUAUGCCACAAGUCAGUGCUUUCAACAAGGCUGGUGUAUGCCUUUCUUUCUAUUUGGCUAACAUCCAGCAUGAAGCACCUAUCAGUCAUAGAGACUGUGACUAACUCCAGACCAUUCAUAUCUUGAACAAUACAGCAACCAUCCUUAAAAACCAAUGUAUAGCCCUUUUCAACUAAUUGGCCUACACUAAGCAAAUUCUGGUCUAAGUCAGGUACAAAAAACACAUCUGAGAUCAGCUUGUUACCUGAACCAGUGCUAAUCAACACACUGCCCUUGCCUUUAGCCUCAAUCAGCCUGCCAUCUCCAAUUCUAAUCCUCGAGUGGAAGCUUCUGUCUAGGCCCUUGAACAGCUUCUCAUCUGCUGCCAUAUGGUGUGAGCAGCCACUGUCUAGUAGCCAAUCAUUGCUGGCCUUGGUUGUGCCAACAAAACAAGUUGCUGUGAACACUUGCUCCUCCUGAGCUUGAAUGUCCUCAGCAGGUUUAGCUUGUUGCAGAGCAGCCUCCUUUGGUUUGCCCUUGCACACCUUCUCCACAUGGCCAAACUGCUUGCAUUUUCUACACUGAAUAUCUGGCCUAAACCAGCAAUACUUUUCUGAAUGUAUUGUCUUCUUGCAAUGAACACAUGGUGGGAACACCCUUUUUGCUUCAUCUCUUCCUGACUUGACCCUUCUAUUGUGCCAAGGCUUCUUGCCUUUUGCACUCACACUCGAGCCUUCACUGGCUUUAGCCUGGAAAGCAGCUUCAGGAUUCUCCUCCUGCCUAUUUACCCUCCUUUGCUCAAGUGCAUACAGGGAGUUUAUCAGUUCAGACAAUGAAAUGGCUGAUAAGUCCCUCGAGUCCUCAAGUGAAGAGAUUUUUGACUCAAAUUUCUCAGGGAGAGUUGUAAUGACCUUUUCAACAACUCUGCUAUCUGUGAAGUCCACUCCCAGGAGCCUAAUGCUGUUGACAAUGGCCAUUAUCCUGUCUGAGUACUGCUUGAUGGUCUCAGACUCCUUCAUCCUCAAAUUUUCAAAGUUGAUCACCUGCUGUUGCCUUGUCUUGUCAGUCCCCAUGAACUCCUCCUUCAGCUUCUCCCAGGCCUGUUUUGGUGAGUCACAGGCCAUGAUACGAGUGAAUAUCACAUCAGAGACUCUAUUUUGCAAGCAGGCCAUAGCCUUAUGCUUCUUGGCUCGCUCAUCAGCAUGCUGCCUCAUCUGUGCAAUGGUGGGAUUGGCUCUCAAUGGAGGUGGUUCAGCAUCAUUCUCGAUCACACUCCAGAGAUCAUGUGCCUGGAGGUAAGUCUUCAUUUUGACUAUCCAAAUGUGAUAUUUUUCUCCAGUGAACACAGAUGGAGGAGGUGGAGUGAAACUCAUCCUGCUAGACUGAAUCCAAAUGCUUCGAUCUUACCAAAAUUUGAACUUGCUGUUGGUUUUGAUUCGAACACAACAGAUUGCAUACAAAGGCCCCUCAAAGACUCGGGCUCUGAUACCAUUUGUUGGAACAAUGGCAGCAGCAAACAUCAAACAAAGUUACAAAACUGUAUUUGUAAGACUGAAGCAAGAAGAAUCGAAGCAAAGAAAAGCAAAGCAAUGAACAAAAAUGAAUACUCAGCAAAGUUGUAACUGAACAUUACAUCUUUUUCAUUCAAAAUUUGAAUAUAUAAAAGAGUUACAAAUUUUGGUUCAUUUGACAGUUACCUAAUGACAUAACUACUCCCACUUAAACUAAACUAAUACAAGCUUAAGUCAAAUACAAAAUAAGCUGACAUAUCAGCUUUUACAUCAUCAAUCCAAUCACAAACUUAAUCCAACUAACUAUUAAAGCUAGUUACAAUCAAACUGAACUAAGUUACAUCAAAACAAAACAGCAAUAUCAGUUGCUUCGUUUGGUCCAAAAACCAUUCGUGCGCACCAAGCAAAACGAGCUGAGCUCGAUAGCUGCUGGUCUCGACAGUAGCAUGCUUCCGGCUCCAUGUUGCAUUGCAGUCCAGCUUUCAACAGCCUUCAAUGCCUGCAAAAAUUGAAUACAAAAUAUAUAACACUGACUUCUAUUAUCAUAUUUUUCAUGAGGACAAUCAUAUAUAUAUAUAAAGAACAGGUAUGAAAUUGAUAAAUGUUUAAAAUUCGUUUACACCUGUGGUUUGAGUGUGGAGAAAUCGAUGCCAGAUUUUGCAGCUUAAAUUUCAAUCAAAUUCCCGCGGGAUGAUUGUUUUGAAACCAAUUCUAACGAAAGGUAUAUGGGCAAUCUUGGAUCUCUCUCGUCCUUCUUCUAGCAAUGGGCAAUUGCAAAUAUGUAGCUGCUCAAGCGAGAGAAGCAUAUCCUUUUCCAGAAGAGAUGUGAGGUUAGGACAACGAUAAAUUCGCAAUUGUUGAAGAGAGGUGAGGUGUUGAAAGCCCUUCGAGCACAUGUAUUCCAAAUUCUCAAAAUUCCGAAUGCAGAUAUAUCUGAGAGAAGGAGGCAGCAUUCUUCCUAUCCCUUCUUCUGGAAAGGACAUGACACUUGAGCAUCCUUCACCGCUGAUAGCCAGUUCUUGAAGAGAGGUGAGUCUGUUAAAUCCCCAUUGAACAAGUGAUGUAUAAAUUUUGGAAGCCUUUGAGAUUGCAAGUGAUGUGAGGUUGGUAGGGAAACCCUCUACUGGAAAGGAUAUGUCAGCCGAACAGUUCCACACCUUUAAUUUUCGAAGGGAGGUGAAGUUGUGGAUGCACUUGGGAAGGAGUCCAAAAUUUUCACAUUCCUCAAUUGAGAAAACUCUGAGAUUUGUGGUGGGCAACCCACUUUCUUCAAAUGGAACCAGAUUUGGACACCUAGAUAAUCGAAUCUCCUGAAGAUGGCUGAGCUUGUCUAAUCCCCGCGGUAAUGAUUUAAUUUUUUCAGCACGCCUAAUUAGAAUGCUUUCGAGAUCAGUGGUUUCAAGGAAGUCUUGGGCUAUGCAUUUCAACACUGGACAAUCCCCAAUAUUCAGAUGUUUAAGCAUUACGGGUAACUUGGUGUUUAAAAAUAAGCUACUUAGCUUUAAACAACUUUCAAUGUGGAGAUGUUGAAGCCAAUUGCAUAUAUCGCCCCUUGAUGAUAACCAUAUUAGAGAUGGACAGUAGCGUAUAUGUAAGUACUCAAGAAGACAAGAGCGUAUAUGUAAGUGCUCAAGAAGACAAGUGUUGCUACUCAUACUCUUAUUAUUAUUUUCUUUUUCAUCAACCAAAUAUUGCAAAUUCACGCAAUUCACAAUCCUCAGCUCUUUUAAAGCAGGAGGAAAGUUACUCUCUGCAAAACAAACCAAGCCUGGACACUUUUCAAGUUCUAUUGUCGUAAUGAAUGGGAAAGCAUAUAAGACUUUUGGUAGUCUAUUCAGCCUUUCACAAUUACCUAUUUCCAGAGAUUCAACACCUGGAAUCUUGUCAAGUUGCAAUAUCUCCUCCUCUGUUUCCAAAGAGACCAAUUGCGGACAAUCCCUAAUCGUGAUGAAACGAUGCCCAAUUAAUCUUAACCCAAUUUGCGAUAAAGAUCCCAACUCCUUCCAACCAUAGAUGUUGAAGGUUUCAAAGUUUGCAAAUCUCAACAUUAUCCUCUCUGCUGAAAUAUUAAACUUUAAAAUAUUUGAAAGAGAAACAUGUUUCAAAAAGUUAACCUUCUGUACAGGCAAAGAACCUUCAUCCACCAAUUCUUCACACCCAUUAACGCUUAAUUCACACAGCAAGGGAAAACUUCAAAUUGAAACUACCAGUCUCUUACACUCAUAGAUUUCAAGUUCUUGCAAGGAUUGAAGGAUGGUUGGCAACCUUCCCAACAAUAGAGGACAUCCACUGAUUGAAAGAAAACGAAGGCUGGGGAAUUUUGAUACUUGCUCAUCAUCUUCACAUAGGUCCCACUCCUCCCAAUUUAGCAUAUUGCCAAAACACAGAGACUCUAAUGAUGCAAAACCAUUUGAUUGAUUUUCUCCAAACAACUCAGCACCAAUCUUAUGUACUUGAUCCAAGCCACUAAUUGAAAGAUCUUUUAACAACAACCUUCCAAUUGGUGGUAGAGAUUUGCAAUUUUUACAGUCGUGAAGCUCCAAUGACAACAUAUUCUUGAAGGAAGGGUCUGCAAUCCAAGUAGAGAAUUUUGCACCACCAUAAUUCUGAAUGACGAGUUGCUCAAGCUUUUUCGAAGGAUGAAGAAUCAACUUGACUUGCCCAAUUGAAAGGUAUAAUAUUAUCUCGACUAAAUUUCAUACAUGAUAGCUUGUUUUGUCUUCAUUUAUAAGAUUUAUUAAAUUAGUGUUUGUUGGUAAUAUGCUAUUUCAAAACAAACUUGUUAGCACUUACUGGAAAAUAAAUAAAGAAUUAACAAAUCAAAAUUUAUUGUGCCAUGGAAGAACCACUUUCUUAUAAAUGAAUUCGCCCUGGUCGGUGUAAUCGUGUUGCGGAUGUUGUCCAUCAAGGUUAACGCGGUGCUUCAAUAUUCGUACACCCGAAUAAAGAAGGUUCAAUUGGUAUUGCUCUUCUCAAGAAAAUCACACUAGAAUCAAUUCCUAAGAAAGUUUGGAGGGAUCACAGCCGAUCCCUAAUGUAAUUUAGGGAAAAUGGCAGAAUUUUAGGAGGGAGUUGCGAGAGAGGGGAGGAGAAGAAAAGAGUUUUUUUUUUAUUUCUGUGUUUUGUGUUCUGUGUCAAAAUGAAAAAAAUAACCCUCUAUUUACACUAGUAACUAAAGGGCAAAAUAGUAAAUAUGUACAAAAUCAAAGUUCAUCUAUACAAUUGAACAUUAAAUUAUAGUUCAUGUAUACUUUUGAUAUUUAUCCCAUUUGAAUAAUAAUUGAACUCUCCAAAGAAAACGUCAAUUUAAAUUAUUUUACUAAACAAAUCUAAUUAAUAAUUUAAAUUGAAAUAUUUAAUUCCUUUCAAAUAUUAAUUUGAAUAAUUAUUGAACUCCUAUUAUUUUAUUUAAAGAUAUAUAUAAAUUUGAACUCCAUGCGAUGAUAUGAUGGUUAAGGUGUUCACUGCUUCAGAUAUGGCUUGGGUUCAAAUCGCGUUAGUUACGUUUGUUAUUCAGGUUUUGUCUCAAAAAAGAUAUAUAUAAAUCUUAUUAAAAUAUGUUUAAAUUUCACUUCCAAUUUAUAAAACUCCUUCCCUAAGCCAAGAAAACAUGUAAGUCCUCUUUACUAUCUUUCAUUAAUUUUCUUUUCUUUUUCCUGCCAUCCUCUUAUAUCUCUAAAGGGUGAGUUUGGAUGGGUAGUGCGUUUACUUGCGGUUAGUGUAAAAACAGCGGUGGCGGGGAGAUUAGAUACUGUAGCGAUAUUAUAGCGUGAGACAAAAAAUAAGCUAAACGCACCGCACCGUCGCCCCAAACGAAGCCAAAGUCUUUAGCAUCCAUACCAAAUAAUAACAAAUGAUUAUGACUAGAUUUUUUUACUCUUGGAAAUUUUCUUAGCAUCAUGAUUAUGACUAGAUUUGAUAAUUGAAAGAUAACUUUUUUUCAAAGUCAUUGUUGAGAACAGAAUAAAACAAAACAGUCUAGCAAAUACUACUUAGCAGACAAAAACAACUUCAACAACAGACUUCCCCGUUAUACUCUGCUGCAUAAAACAGCAGAUCAUCCCAGCAUCAUCCACUCUGCUUCAGCAGCAAAUCACCAAGCCGCUUUAAAAAAGUUUUUCCUUGACAUGCCUACCUUUGCUAGAGUUUCCGCCAUUCCAUUCUUUUUAUGAUUAGUGACUGCAAACUGGAUUUCAGCAAUAUGUCUACAUCCAUCUUUUAUUUCCGCAAACAACUUCCUUAGCGACCAUGGACGAAGACUUCUAUAUUUCAACCAAUUAGAGACCGUAUUCAAAUCAAACUCUAUAAUCAAAGGAAGUUGCACCUUAUGAAACUAACUUGAAAACAUCUCUAUUGCUACUUUUAUAGCCAUCAAUACCACCAUUUCCAAACCUCCAUUGAACAGUUAAUUGAAGGAUAAUGAUGCACAUAAAAUGGCACCUUGGAAGGAUAAUGAUUAAGACUUUCUUCUUCUUUUUUUAACACAGGUGUAUCAUAAUGGAGCUGGCAUCUUCUCUUAUUUCAGGGGCAGAGGACGACCUUAUUGAUAUAAGUUAACUUUUUAGGUAUAUAAUAUUCCCAUUUACCUCUACAAAACCGUAACUAGAGGGAUAUUUUGAUAUAAGUUCAAAAUUAAAAACACAAACCUCCAAUUUUUUUCUCAAAAUAAUUAAAAACACCCCAAUUUUCAAUUAUCAAAAGUGAUCCAAAAAUAUAUAUAAGUUUUAUCAACCCUUACGAGUCAAUACACACCUACACACCUGUAUAAAUCAAUAUUUUAUCUACAAAAUUAUCUAGCAAAACCUGUUUUUUUUUUUUAAUUCAUAUUUUAACAUUUUACAGAUAUUUCUUUAAUGGCUUGGAUUAUAUGGAAUUCAUUUUACAAAGAGUUGAGCUUUUUUUACUGGUGAGCAACCAUGGUGGUUAGUUCUGCACCAUGGUUUCAGUUGUACCGCUCGGUGUCACUGUUUCAGUGUUAUAGCACAACAAGCAACACCUUUUUUAUACCAGUGAAAAUUUUAGUCUGGAUUAUUCGCACCAGCUCAUUUUGCCCAAUUCUAGUCGCAAUAACUGAAACAUGGUGCACCGACAGGCACAUAAAUUGGAAUCUAAAACUUUUAACUAUUUUCUGUUAGGCUAAAGACUUAAUUGAAAUGUAUUAACCAAUAAAAAAAAUAUUAGACUAGAAAGUAAAGUUUAACAAUUUUUUUUUUUGGAGCAUACUUUUAACAUUUAAAAUAUAAUAAAAAAAUUCACUCAUCCCAUUAUCAAAGAAAAAUUCACUCAGCUUCUUUUAUUGAAAAAUCUCCUCAUUCUUGGGCUUCUGUUUUCUUGCUAAUAUUGAAUUUAUUGAACGAUGAAUUUUAUUUGUGGAGUUCAUUAAUCAGUAUUCUAUAUAAUUGAUAAAUAUUUUAUAUUUUGAAACUUAUUCAGAAUCAUUUACUUGAUAUUUGUAUUUUUUUAUUUAGAUAUAUUAAAUAUUUUAAAAAAUAUCGAUAAAUUCAAAACGGUACAUGGAAAUAUACUAAUACCAAUAAGUAUCAAUUCUAGUAGAAAAGCAGUGCAUCAACUAGUCUGGUAUUGACUACGUUGGAAACAACUAUGUUGCAGACUUGUUAGCAAAAAAAAGGGUUAAAGGGUGUUAGGUUAGUAUUUUGGGUGGCUAUAAAGUUUGAUGCUUUGUUUUCUAAGUAUUUUGCUUUAAUGCAUUUGAUUUCUGCUGAUAUUUGAGUGUAAUCAUCAUGAUAUACAUGGCUAUCUAAUUUUUUAUGAUUUGUUAUUCUGAUUGUGGUUGUUUUAUUAAUAAAAUUAUGUUUUGGAUUGAGAAAAAAAUUAAGAAAUUUAAAACACAAAAAUGAAAUUAGAGAAAGUGAACACAAUGAUUUACGUGAUUCGAGAAUAUUCCCUACAUCCACGGGCAGAACCGAAAACGAAAUUCACUAAUAAAAAAAUAAAGAUUACAAUAGAUUUACAUAAUAAAAUAAAAUACCUUGCCACAAUAACUAUCCACAAACUUUGAGCAAUCUUUUAAAUGAACAUCAACUAUAUACAUUCCACAUAUUGAGAAAUACCUGGCAAUAAUAAAUUACAAGUGACCAACAAUCUCAAAUACAGGACAUUGUCUGAUUGAAAGAACACGAAGGAUGGGGAACUUCGAUACUUGCUCACCAUCUUCACAUAGGUCCCACUCCUCCCAAUUCAGCAUAUUGUCAAAAUGCAGAGACUCUAAUGAUGCAAAAGCAUUUGAUUGAUUUUCUCCAAACAACUCAGCACCAAUCUUGUUUACUUGACCCAAACCGCUAAUUGAAAGAUCUUUUAACAACAAUAACCUUCCAAUCGAUGGUAGAGAUUUGCAAUUUUUACAGUUGUGAAGCUUCAAUGACAGCAUAUUCUUGAAGGAAGAAUCUGCAAUCCAAGUAGAGAAUUUUGCACCACCAUAAUUCUCAAUGACGAGUUGCUGAAGCUUUUUCGAAGGAUGAAGAGAGUCUAACACCCAUUCUUCAACUUCUCUUUUCCUUGUAUCCUUCUUAAUGUCCUGACCCCAUUCCAAUACCAAUCGAUGAAUCCCCUGCUUCUCAUUUAACUUGGCUUCCCCUGCAUCUUCACCAUUAACAUUCUCCAACCCAGAAAGACGGAAAUCACCUUUGAGGUUUGACAAAUAUUUCAAAUCUCUAAUAUGACAACCAUCACCUUCCCCUGUGAUAAAGUUUGAUAACCUUUGAAGAUUGGUUAGCUUAUCAAUUCUAAAAGGAAUCCUUUCAAUUGAGUUCGCACCUCUGAUAUCAAGAUAAUGCAAAUUGACAAGAUUUCCCAUCUUUGAAGGUAACCUUCGAAGCUUGGAACACUUUUUUAAUAAUAAAGUUUCCAAAUGGUAAAGAGUGCACAAAGAAUCAGGUAAGUAUUUGAUAUCAGUGCCAGAAAAAUUUAAGCAGCGAAGAUGUUUUAAAUUUUCAAAAACAUCAUCAGGCAACUCAGUGAUCUUAUACCCACUCAAAGAAAGCACUCUUAAGUAGCCAAGUCUUGGCAACAAAUCAACCAAAACAACAUUAGUUAAAUAAAGCUGCCAAUAACGUGACAACUGUAAAGGUAGAAAAGUACGUAAUUGUUUCACUUGAUCAAAUGCUUCGAACUUCUUCACUGUGUCAUAUCUGCUGACAAUAUAAGAAGAAUGUCGAGUGCGAUUUGAGAACUUUUGUUGCUUAUCGCCCUCCAAUUUGGAGCAUAUCUUUCCUGCAACUACUUGAGCUAAAUCAUUGAUAAGGUCAUGCAUUACGAACCGGGACUUAUCUUUACUGGAUGUCUGAAAAAAUGACCUUGACACUAGAUCUUGAAAAUACUGAUUUUUCAAAUUCAUAAUCUUUAGGAAGUAUGGAGCAAUAUGCAAAACAUCGUUUCAAGUAUGACGGAAGAUGAUGGUAGCUUAAUCGCAAAGCUGGAAUUAUGCCACAUCGCUCUUCUGGUAAGUCCCAUAUCUCGCUCUCAUAUAUUCUUUCCCAUUCUCCAUGAUAUAUAACCGUGCGUAGCAAGCUUCCAAUGGCUUUUGCAGCCAAAGGUAAGCCAUUGCACCUUCUAACAAUUUUCUCUCCAAUUUCUUUAAACUGGCGAUGUUCAUCGAAAUUUCUUGCGUUUAAUGCAUGCUGUGUAAAUAUGGAUAAACAAUCAUAAUCUGAUAAUUUAUCCAAAUGAAAAGCUUUGAGCGGUUUCACCAUAGAUGAAACAAUUUGAAGACGAGUCGUUACAAUGAUAUUGGUCCCUGCUCCAAACGGAGACCGUAAGAUGGUCCAAUCAUUAUAAUUCUCGUUCCAAAUGUCAUCUAAAACAAGCAAGAAACUUUUCCCCGACGAUUUCUCCUUCAACUUAACUUGAAGUAAAUCCAUGUUACUGUAAUCACAUGACUCAGAAGUGAUGGACUGUAAAAUUGCCUUUGUUAUAGCAAUUGCAUCAAAAUUAUCAGAAACGAAUACCCAGGCCUUGAGAUCAAAAGACUCGUUGAUGGUAGCGUCAUUGUAAACAAGCUGAGCAAGAGUUGUUUUACCCAUCCCUCCCAUGACCACGAUGGAAAGGACUGAAAAUCCAUCGGAGUUAUUACCUUUGAGCAACUCAAUCAUUUUUUGCUUCUCCUUGUGUCUACCAACAUACUCCACAGCUUCAUCCAUAACGGAAGUUGGUUGAAGCCUGGGCUGAUUUCCCUUGGAGGGUGGAGCUUGGGACAAGAUCUUACUCAACCCCAAAUUACUCCUCCGAGUAUUCAAAUUAUUUAGUCUAGCAGUGAUAUCUUUGACCUUGGGAAUCAUGGAAUUCUUAAACCCAAAAGAAGUAAGAGUGAGACUAGUACCAGUAAAGCAGGUAGGAAUGAGUUUCCGUACCUUGCUAGUGCUGGCUUGAGCUUGAGUAUUUUGGAGCUUGAGACGUAACUCUUCAUAAGCGAACUCGUCCAAGAUGUCAUCCACAUCGUAAGCCAAGUCCUGGAGGUCGUCCAACCAUUUCUUCACACUCUCGUUCUUGAUCUGCUUCUCCUCAGCAUCGGUUAGCACUGCUUGGAUAUCGGGCAAUAUGGACUGCCAGUGUUUGAGCUGCCGGUGGAGUUGCUUAUGAUCAGCGACAAAGUUGAGUGCAGAGUCGAGCAACUUGCCCCCCAACAGCUCCAGAAACACAGACAGAGCAGCCUCUCCAAUGACAGACACGGUGGAAUUAUGAGAAAGAAGAUGAAGAGAGAAAUGAAGAAAGCCAAAAUGGAAAUUCAGGGACCAAAAUAGAAAGAAAGAGACAUGGGCUCCGUAUAAUUAGUGAAAGUUGAAGAAGUUGGCAGAAUAUUUUUUUAAGCAUCCAAUAAUUCAGACUAUGAGAUGGAAGGCAUUGGAUUGUGAUAAAGAAGGUUGACCCCAAGUGGCUGUUGAUGGGGAAAAGACAAUGAAAGUGGAAUAGGUCCCACUCCAAGAAAUUAUUGCACCCUCUCAUUUAUUAGGGUUUUUUACUAAAGAGUACAAAAAAAUAAAAAAAUUCUAAAAUAAUACAAUAUAAAAAUUAAUUACGAAAAUAGUAUGUUUAGGGUGGUCACGCCACUGUGAGAGGCGCCACCAUCCUAAAUCUGACAUGUAACAGUAAAAAAAAUGUUGAAAACGAAAAAGAAUGAAAAAAAGGUGGUGUAGGUGCCAGAGGCGGCACCGGUGGUGUGGGUCACAUAGGCAGCACCUUUGUUUCUAUUUCUAAAAUAUUCGGAUUUUAUUUUUUAAAAUAUACUAUUUUUGUAUUUUAUUUUUAUCUUAUUUUAGUACAUAAUAUUUCAAAUAUAUUAUUUUAGUGUUUUUUAAAUAAUCCUAAUUUUGUCACUUUGUUUGUAUUUCUAAAAUUUUCAGAUUUUAUUUUUUAUAUUAUUUUUUAUACUUUUUUCAUAUUUUAUUGUAUUUUUUUCAUAUUUUAUUUCUUUUCAUAUUUUAUUUUUUUUCAUAUUUUAUUUUUUAUAUUAUUUUUGUAAAAUAAUAUAAAAACCACAUCACAUAAAAAAUAAAAAAAUUAAAAUAAUUAGAAUAUAACAUGCCAAAGAAAUUUUAUAAGAAAUAAUAUAUCUAAUCAACUUGAAAGACACUUAACAAAUAAAUUACAUAAAAUAAUAAUAAUAAAACGUUCUUUACACAUAAAAUACAUAAGCUUUUUUACUUCAAUAAAAAUUAAAAAUAAAUUAGGAAUGAACGAAAACAUAAAAUAAAUAUAAACAUGCCUUAAUAUCUCUUUUUAACCAAAAAAUACCUUGAAAAAAAUAAAUUUAUAAAUUAAAUUUAAAUUAAAUUAAAAUUAAAUCAACAAUAAUAACAGUAUCUAAAAGAAAUAAAUUAUUUACUUAAAAAAAUUUACCCCUUUUUUUCCUCCUUUUUCCUUCCCUCCCUCUUUUUCUCCUUCUCUUUUUUCUCUCUUUUUUCUUCCCUUCCCUCACCGUCUGCUUGCUCCUUCUUCUUCUCUUCUUUUCUUCUUCUCUUCUUUCUUUUCUCUCAUUUCUUCCCCAAAUGAGUUAGGGGACCAUAAUAUAUGGUCCAAAACAGAGAAGAAGACAAAACCCCUAUCCAUGACCGGUCAUGUCACGGUGCCGCUGGUGGCAGUGGCACCAUCGGUGCCGCCUCUACCACUGGCAUCAUUGGUGCCGACUGUGGCAGGCCCAUGACCAGUCUACUUCAGCUUUUUUCUUUUCAGCAGCCUUUUUUUUUCAACAGUUUUUUUUCAGCAUCUUUUUAGCGUUUCUUUUUUUUUCUUUCUACUGUUUUUUAUUAUUAUUGCAUGUCAGAAUCAGGGUGGUGCCGCCUCUUACAGUGGCGUGACCACCUGAACAUAUCAUUUCCGUAAUUACUUUUUAUGUUAUAUUAUUUUAGAAUUUUUUUAUUUUUUUGUACUUCUUUAAUAAAAAACCCCAUUUCUUAUCUUCCUGCAAUUAUUUGUAUACUUUUUUUUAGCUAUUAUAAUUUAUUUGGCGGUCUAUCUUUAUAAAAAAUUAUUUUAUUUUAUUUUAUUUUUUAGUUUUUAAAUUCAAUUUUCUUUUAAAAUUAUCUCAAAAGAUCAAAGUGAGGAAAGUUAUUUCACAGUAAUAUUUAUAUAUUUUUUAAAAUUAAAUAAUAUGAUUUUAUUAAUUAAAUAGUAAUUGAAUCAGAAUGAAUAUAUUGAUAAUACUUAGUUCUUUUUAGAAGGUAAAAAACUUACUUAAAAAUAAAUUAUUUGAUUAUUAACGAUUGUGUCAUUUUGGCCUUCCUUGGAGUUGAGAAGAAAGCAAAUAGAGAAAUUGGAAGCACUACUUAACCCAUAAUGGUAAAGCAAAUGCAACUAUGGUUAGGUGGAAAUGUAAUAAAAGUAAGGCUUUCAAGCUUUAGAUUGCCUGUAAAAACGAUCAAAUAAUAUAUCACAUUUACCAUAUUAUCUGUCUUACAAAAACCAAAUAUCAGCGAAUCACCAUCUUUGCCUAUCUUUUAAAGGGUUGGUCUGAGCAUGACAAAAUAAGGGAUGCUCUGAAAAUUUGAUGAUGCAUCCAUCUAUAAUCACAGGGAUUAUAUUGAUAUGAAAUAAUAAACAAGAUGGAGCUUCCUUCCGUACCUUCAAGUAAAACUUGGUUAAAUGAAGUCACGCAGUCAGUCACUUAAACACUGAGUUCAUUAGUGUCAUUCAAUCCACAUGAUCGAAAAAACAAUUCUUCAUCAAGUGAAUUAUUGCAGCUCAAAAGUUGCUUUCGAAUGGAUUCAUCAUCUGAGAAUUUCUGAGAACUAGGAUAGACAACUUUGAGAUCGGUAGACAAUAGUUUGUGGAAACACUAAGGCUGCAAGUUCCAACGAAGUACAAUCUCAAUGUCACCAGUGUUUUACAAGUGAAAACACCAAAAUUGCAGGUCUGUGAACUCUCUUGUGUUAAUGCUUAAAUCGAGCUCUUUAACUACAUACCAUACUGCGUAGUGUAUCCCUCCCUUUUAAUGCAUGCUGAGUAAAUAUGGAUAAACAAUCAUUGGAUAGUUUAUACAAAUGAAAAGCUUUGAGCGGAUCCACAAUAGAUGAAACAAUUUGAAGACGAGUGGUUACAAUGAUAGUGGUCCCUACUCCAAAUGGAGACAGUAAGAUGGUCCAAUCAUUAUAAUUCUCGUUCCAAAUGUCAUCUAAAACAAGCAAUCAUUCUAAGACCUUUGCAACUUUUAAAUUUGAUUAGUUCUAUUUAGAAAAUUUCAAAGUGAUAUACAGAAAUCCUUUUAUACUUUGACAUUGUUAAUCCACUAACCGCUAUUUCAAUGCAAAACUGCUUAAAAAGGUCGUAAAAAAAUAAAUAAGACUAAAUUUAUUAAGAGCAAAGCCCUUAAUGAAAAGAUUAAUCAAAGUGACAAACAUUGUCAGAAUACAAAAUGAGUGAAUAAAAUCAGGUGCCCCAAAUAUCCUAGUAUGAGCUUUUCCAAGCAAACUUGCUAGGCCCAUUCCAAGGCUGAUAUAUGUUUAGGAUGUCUAAAAUACUUUGUUGAUGCCUCAAGAUGUAAAGUUUCUCUUCUUUGUUGUCUCUAAGGGGAAACGACUAUUUCAUGCCCAUUCUUCGGUCAAUAUUUGAGUUGCCUUUUUUGAAUUUUCAACUUAAAAUCCCUUUGGUCUCAAUAUACUCUUUAUGGGUUUUCACCUUGGCAUCUUCUUUUUUUUUACAGUAAAAUAUUUCAUGCCAUUGUUGUGCUCAUAUGUUGGUAUUGCCCUCUUUGGAUGCCCACUAUUCAAGGCUUCAUCACCCCAAGGUAUGUACACCUCCCAGCGGUACCAUUUCCCCUUUUCUCUGCCACCAAUUUCAUGGUUUCCGAAGUUGAAUGAAAGUAGAAAGCCAAAUAAAUAAAAUAUUUGGUUCCUUCACUUCAAGGUUCUCACCAAUUAUCUCCAUGAUUUCCAAAUGCCUCCUGUAAAAGAAAAUCAAUGAAAAAGAUAAAAGUGCAAAUACAACUAUGUUCCAAAUACCAAAAUAUGGUCCAACACAGGAAAGGAAUGGUAGAAGAACAAAUUCUCCAUUUACUUUAUCAUAAACAUUGAUAAUAUCACUGUUGAAACGUUCCAAAGCAGGGGAAGUUCAUACAAAGAUUGAUAGAAAACUCACUGUGACACAUUUAGCUUUGAAGCUUCAUAAAAAAGAUUAGUCUUUACCAACCCAUUCAAGCAGUUUUACAAAAUUACUAGUUGUUGAACUAUUUCAGUAUGGGUCUGAUAUAUAUAUAUAUAUGUAUAUAUACACCUCAGCUUGUUGCUCAUCAGAAGGAUGUUCUUGAGAAUGAUCUUCUUCCAUUUCUUUGUUGUAUCUUGAAAGAGUGUGUUUCAUGCUAUAUUCAUAAAAUAUCAUGUUUAAAAAAAUAAAAAUAAAUUAAAAAUAAAAUUCUAACUUAGGGUUUAGGUUUUUUUUUAACCUAUAUUGUUUGGACUUGAGCCGAUCAAAUUUAUGACAAAUUAUUCUUAGCUUAUCGUAACUAUUUAUGUAUCGUUUUUGUUUUAAUAUGAGUGUGCGUUGUUGUGUUUUAGUAUGUAGUUUUGUAUUUAUCAUUUUUUAAAAUAUUAUAUAUAAUAUACUUGCAAAUAUUUUUUAAUUAUAAUAUGUAAAUAUAAAAUUUAAAAUUAUUAAUUAAGUUCAACAAUUUAAUGAAUAUUAUUUUUAAAAGCAAUUAUAUAAAGAAGUAGUUAAGAAAGAAAUGGGAAAUAUUAAAAAUUCCUUUAUAGGAAUCAAUACUCACCGAUAGAAGCAAAUAUUAAUUGAAAUGAAUCAAAGCUCAAUGAAAUUUUAAUUGAAGUAAAACUUAAACUAUUUUAUUCUAGUUCAAUAUCGAGACGAUUUGCAACGAUUGAUAUAACCAGUAUCGAAACUACAGACUACCAUGCUGCAAAGCGAAAAGAAAAAUAAUGGAAAUCAAUCAAAUUACAACUCAACUUACUUUCAUGCUUAAAAAAAAAGUUCCAAAAAAUAAUUGUCGAAACCAUUUUCAAAUCGAGUUUUGGAAAAUGGGAAUCGAUUUUAAAAAACGAAAACGGGAGUCGCCACCAAUCUUUUUAGGUGUGAUUGGAUCACCUUUAAAACAUUUUGUUUUAAAAUCAUUAGUUUUGGUCCACGAAAUAAAAGAACGGAUUCGGGAGUCGGUUACGUACGAGGAAGGAUUAGCACCCUCGUAACGCCCAAAAAUUGGUACCUAAUUGAUUAUCAAAUGUCUUUAAUGUGAAAGAAAAAAAAUUUUAAGAUGUAGUCCUCUUUAAAAUAUUUUAACUUUGAAAAUUGAGAUUCACUAGCGUCAAAGUAUUGACAUUAAGUUAUCCCUUUUUUGAAAUUCCUAUCUCGAAACAGCAAAACGCUAUAUCCAAUAAGUUAGGAUAUAUUGCUUUGAAAUUCCAAGAUAGUGGCUUGCAUUUAGAAAACCUCUAAAAAAACUUAGAAGGGUACUUAAUUAUUCGAAUUCAACGAGAAAAGUGGCAACCCAAUAAGUUAGGGCACUGCUUUCUCAAAAUUUCCAAACACCAAGCAUUGCCUUAUUUGCAAAAAAUCUUAUUUCGAGGUAACAAAUAAAUGAAUAAAACGAAUAAAAAGAUAAUAACAAAUAAGCUAGGAAAUAUUCGAGAUUAAAAAAAACUAGUAAUAAAUAAACAAUCAUUAUGUAAGACUAAAGAAUGAUAGUAUAGUGAAGAUAAUAAUAAUAUUAAUAGUAAUAAUACAAAUAAAAAUUUUGGAAUGAUGUGUGAAAUUAUAUAUAUGUAUGUGAAUAUAUAUAUAAGUAAACAAUAUAUAUAGUGAGUGAAGAGUAAAAGGUAAAACAAGUGUAUUUAAAGAGUAAUGGGUAAAAAUAUAAUAAUAGUGUAAUAGUACUAAUAACGUAAUAGUAUUAGAAAUAUACGAUAUAUAAUAUUGAAGGUAAAUACAUAAUAUAUACAUAUUAGAAAUAAUCAUAAUAUUAGAAACAACUAUUAAUAAUACUACAUAAAUAGAUAUAUAGUAGUAGCAUAUACAUGAUAUAGUUAAAAAAUAUAUAAAGUAAGAUAAUAUGGGAAAUAAAAAAAAUAUAUAAACGAUAUAAUAUUAGGGCAUAUGCAAAACAAUAAAAAUACAAUAUUAAAAGAUAUAUAUAUAUAAAAUGUAUACAUAAUAUAAUAUUAAAAUAUUUACAUGGUAUAUACAUAAUAAUGUAAAAAAUAAACUAUUAGUAAUAUUAUAAAUAUACAUAUAGUAGUAAUAAUAAUAUAAAGGUAUUUCAAAUAAACAGAUAUGCACGUAAAAAAAAAGAAGAAAAGAGAAAAAUAAUAAUUACAAAAGUAUGAAAUCAAAAUAAUAUGUAGAAACAUGUUUAUUCUAAAAAGAAUAACUGAAACUUAAUUGAGAGAAGAAACAAAAUCCAAGAGAUAACUUACAAGUAAAACAAAUUAUUGAAACAGAAUUUUGGGCUAAAAUUAAUUGCGUAUAAAUGUCCGAGAUCUAAAAUUAAAAAUGCCCCAAAUCUUAAAAUACCGCGCAAAGGGGGCAAAUUGAAAUAGCACACAGAUUGCAUGGCCAAUUUAAAAUAAUAUAAAACUUAAAUAUGGCCCGAUUGAAGGCUAGCACAAAGGAGGGGACCAAUUGCGAAAAUUACCCAAUUAAAGGUAACAUGCAUGGUCCCAAGCAAAAAAGUUGAUUCCACUCCCCCAUGCUACUUUGUUUUAUUAUUAAUUAAAACUACUCUCCCAUACUAUUUUGUUUUAUUAUUAAUUAAAACUAUUCCCUCAUACUAUUUUGUUUUUAUUAUUAAUUAAAACCACCCCCCAUACUAUUUUGUUUUUAUUAUUAAUUAAAACCAUACUUUAUUUUCUCUUUUUUUUUCUAUCAUAUAAAAAAAAUCUUUUUUUAAGAAAAAAAACAAAAAAAAGAGUUAAAACACCACCUUACCACCCUACAUUCAUUUUUCAAAAUAAAAAGAAGGCUCUCAACUCUCUCAACCCUUCCCCUCCUCCGGUCAUCGGACCGGCCAUCAAUCGUCACACCGGUCACCGGCCACCGACGGCGACACCGCCGUCCACGGUGGGCGAAAAAUCUUCCGAGGCCUUUUUUCGCUUCUCUUCUCGAGUAGAGCCCGGAUUUGGGGUUAAAACAACCCAAAAACCUUCAAAAAUUAAUGAGAAACACCAUAAAACUCAAGAAUCCAUUCGGAUUCCGGCCACCGAUCCUUGGCGGUGGCUUCCUCGGUCGUCCACAAUGUUGGAAAACCGAACACCGGUAAGUUCCUUCCCUCUUUUCCUCUUUUUUAUUUUUCAAGUUUUUUUUUGUGUUAAAAUAUUUAUAAAAUAGAUAAAAUGAACGAAUAGAAAGAAGAUCAAAAAUAAAAAUAAGGACAAACACCUUUUGAACUUGUUUUCUCCUUUUGAUUUCUCCCGAAAAUCUCUGUAAUACAACCCCCCUUAAUACAAUGUCUUCUCUCCAAAAAUCAAUCGAUUCUUCCUCAAAAUACCAUCGAUCCCCCCUUUUACAAUCGGUUCUAGUAUGGCUUUUAUAGCCAUUUACAAACUUUAUUAUAUAUAUUUGCUAUCUUUUCUUCUUUUUGUAUGGCAGGCAAACGGUGGUGGAGGCAUGUGCCACUUGGUAGUGGUUGGAAGUGGGUGGUUGAGGCUUGCGGCUAGGGUUUCUAAUUUCUGAAAAUAGGUUGUGGGCUAGGGUUUCUAAGCUUUUGGGCUUCUUUUAGGUUUUAAUUUUUGGGUUGUAAUUGGGUUGGUAGCUUUGUUUGUAAAUGGACUUUUAAUGGGCAUUUUGAUUUUUUUCUUUAUUUUUUUUCAAAAUUUGGUUUAUUUAUUUUAAGGCCCGGGAAAAAUAUGGGUUCUACAGCUGCCCCUCUUUGCUCAUUGUUGUGUUAACAGGAAUAGAGCAAAGACUAAAAAGACCCAAUUUUGCUCGGGCUUGCCGAGUUUUGAGUUCUUCGAUCUGCUUCUUCGAUCUGUUCCCUAUAAACACAGGGAUGCCAAAUCUGCUAUCUUCAACUUGUUCCCUAUAAACACAGGGAUGCCAUGCUGAAAUCUUCGAUCUGCUUCACUGUAAGCACAGGAAUGUCAUAUCUGCUAUCUUCGAUCUGUUCCCUAUAAGCACAGGGAUGCCAAAUCUGCUGUUUUUCAACUUGUUCCCUAUAAGCACAGGGAUGCCAUGCUGAAAUCUUCGAUCUGCUUUACUGUAAGCACAGGAAUGUCAGAUCUGCUAUCUUCGAUAUGUUCCCUAUAAGCACAGGGAUGCCAAAUCUGCUGUUUUUCAACUUGUUCCCUAUAAGCACAGGGAUGCCAUGCUGAAAUCUUCGAUCUGCUUUACUGUAAGCACAGGAAUGUCAGAUCUGCUAUCUUCGAUCUGUUCUCUAUAAGCACAGGGAUGCCAAAUCUGCUGUUUUCAACUUGUUCCCUAUAAGCACAGGGAUGCCAUGCGAAAUCUUCGAUCUGUUCCCUAUAAGCACAGGGAUGCCAAAUCUGCUAUCUUCAACUUGUUCCCUAUAAGCACAGGGAUGCCAUGCUGAAAUCUUCGAUCUGCUUCACUGUAACUCAGGAAGGCGAUAUCUGCUAUCUUUGAUCUGCCCCCCGUCUACUACAGAGACGCCAAAUCUAUUUCUUCGAUUUUUUCCCUGACAAUACAGAGAUGCCAAAUCAUCUUAGAUUUGCUUUAACGUAAGCACGUGAAAGCUAAAUCAACUAUGAUUCGAUUUGCUCCUUGUAAGCAUAAGGAUGCCAAACCAUCUUGGAUCCGCUUCAGCAUAAACAUCCGAAGGUGAGAUCUGCUAUGUGUCUGCUCUCCAUCAAAGUGAAGAUGCCAAACUUCGAUUCGUUCUCUGACGAUACAGAGACGACAAAUCAUCUUAGAUUUGCUUUCUCGUAAUCACGUGAAAGCCAAAUCAGCUAUGUCUUCGAUUUGUUCCUUGUAAACACAAGGAUGCCAAACCAUCUUGGAUCUGCUUCAGUGAAAUCAUCUGAAGGCGAGAUCUGUUAUGUGUCUGCUCUCCAUCAAAGUGAAUAUGCCAAACUUUGAUUCGUUCUCUGACGAUACAGAGACGACAAAUCAUCUUAGAUUUGCUUUCUCGUAAUCACGUGAAAGCCAAAUCAUCUAUGUCUUCGAUUUGUUCCUUGUAAACACAAGGAUGCCAAACCAUCUUGGAUCUGCUUCAGUGAAAUCAUUUGAAGGCGAGAUCUGCUAUGUGUCUGCUCUCCAUCAAAGUGAAGAUGCCAAACUUCGAUUCGUUCUCUAACAAUACAGAGACGACAAAUCAUCUUAAAUUUGCUUCAUCGUAAUCACGUGAAAGCCAAAUUAGCUAUGUCUUCGAUUUGCUCCUUGUAAACACAAGGAUCCCAAACCAUCUUGGAUCUACUUCAGUAUAACAUCUGCAUGCCAGAUCUGUUAUGUUGUGGCCUAUUACCCUACUGCUUAAGGGAUUAAGGCGCGUCAUCUUGUAGAAUGAUUAUGCUUGAUAAUUAGGAUGCCAUGCUCGAAGUGAGUCAAAUGUUCCUAAUUAAACAUGUUAUGAUGCAAAAUGUCAUGAAUAUGACCCCUAUCCUAGAUGUCAUCAUUCAUUCUUUCAUUUACCUUUCUUUUCUCAAAGCUUCAUUCACGCUCAGCCCGUAGGCCUGUACCCUUCCUCCAAUGCUACUGAGGAUGUUUGUAAAACAAUCUUUUCUUAAAAUUUAAUCAUUGAUUUUGUUCAUUUUCCCUUUAGACUGGAUGAAAGAAAUUCCUCGAGUUCCUUCAUCCUUUACUUACGUGAAUUUCUCGAACAAUUGUCCUGUUUUAGUUUCUUGUAUUGUCUAGAAAUUUCAGAGUAAUGCGCAAAACUUCAUUUGUAAACAUAUUUAGUUCAUUUAUCAUUAUUUCAAUGCAACAUGAAAGAUGAAUAAAUCUUUAAGAAUAAUUGAAUUUGAAUGAAUUAAGAAGAAAGAAUACAAAGGAAAUUAAUCUGAAGGUCUAUCUUUAGGAAGGAAUAGAAUCUAAAGAUGGAAAACAAGAUAGAAGUUAGAUCCUCCAGAUAUCACCGCUUGAGUGCCUAUACACCAGCUCCAUGAAGUCUUUCUUGAGUUGAAAAUGUGUUUAAAAGAUCCCAAGUACUCUGUUGAUGCCCCAGUUUGUAGCAUUCUUCACUCUUUGUAACAAGAUUACUGUGUACUCUUCAAAAUUUGAGCUGCCCUUACAGGUUUUCAACUCAAAAACCUUUUGGUCACAAGGUGCCUUUUGCGGGUUUUCACCUUGGCCUCUCCGUUUUUGAUUUUUUUUUCAGGGCGCCCUUUGCGGGUUUUCACCUUAGAUUCUCUUCUUCUUUAGACAAAGUAUUUUUUAACUGAGUCCGAGUUCACUUGAUUAGGUAAAUUUUUCCCAUCCAUUUCUGCUAAGAUCAAUGCACCACCGGAGAAAGCUUUCUUCACAACAUACGACCCUUCCCAAUUCGGCAUCCAUUUUCCUCUAAAAUCCUUUUGAAUAGGAAUGAUCUUUUUCAGUACAAGGUCUCCCUCAUGGAAUUCUCUUGGUCGAACUUUCUUGUCAUAAGCUCGCAUCAUUCGCUUUUGAUACAUCUGACCAUGUCGAAUGGCUUUUAGCCUCUUUUCUUCAAUCAAGUUCAACUGGUCAUACUGGGAUUGAACCCACUCAGCUUCAUCUAACUUUACUUCUGUCAAAAGUUGAAGAGAAGGUAUUUCUACUUCAAUAGGUAAUACUGCUUCCAUCCCGUAAACUAACGAGAAUGGAGUUGCCCCAGUAGAGGUUCUGACAGAUGUUUGAUAGGCCAGGAGUGCAAACGGUAACUUCUCAUGCCAAUCUCUAUAGGUCUCAGUCAUCUUCCCCACUAUUUUCUUAAUGUUCUUGUUGGCAGCUUCUACCGCCCCAUUCAUUUUUGGACGAUAGGGAAAAGAAUUGUGAUGCUUAAUUUUGAACUGGUCGCAAACUUCUGCUAUCGUUUUAUUGUUUAGGUUUAAUGCAUUGUCGGAUAUGAUCUUCUCAGGCAUUCCAUACCGACAAAUGAUCUCCUUCUUCAAGAAUCAACUCACAGCUGACUUAGUAACAUUCGCAUAAUAAGCAGCCUCUACCCAUUUUUUGAAGUAGUCAAUUACUACAAAGAUAAACCGAUGUCCAUUCGAAGCUCUCGGUGAUAUUGGUUCAAUAACAUCCAUGCCUUACUUGGAAAAGGGCCAUGGAGAAGUCAUAACAUGCAAAAGUGAAGGUGGUACAUGAAUUUUAUCCCCAUAAAUCUGGCACUUAUGGCAUUUCUUGGUGUAACUGAUGCAAUCCCCUUCCAUAGUGGCCCAAUAAUAGCCAGAUCUCAUGAUUUACCUUGCCAUCGUGAACCCAUUUACAUGCGUCCCGCAUACACCUUCGUGAACUUCUUCUAGAAUUAACUUAGCUUCCACAGCAUCGACAUAUCUUAGAAGUACUUGGUCUUUUCGUCUUUUGUACAGGAUAUCUCCGUCUAAAACAUAGUCGCAAGCUAACCUCCUCAAGGUUCGUUUGUCAUUUUCACUGGCCUGUUCAGGGUAUUUACGAUCUCUCAUGUAUCGCAAUAUAUCUUGAUACCAGGGGUUAUUGUCAUUUCCCUCCCUCUCAAUGUUACAACAAUGAGCUGGAGCCUCGUAAACACUCAUUUGAAUUGGCUUCAUUUCUUCUUCUUUAUUUGCCUUGAUCAUUGAGGCCAAGGUUACUAAAGCAUCUGUCAUCUGAUUUUUGUCUCGUGGGAGAUAAUUGAAGGUGAUGUUAUCAAAUUCCUCAAGUAACCCCAAAACUACCUUUCGAUAACUAAUCAAUUUAGGGUCCCUCGUCUCCCAUUCACCUCUAAGCUGAUAAACAACCACGCCGAAUCCCCAUAUACUUCUAGAGUUUUUAUACCUCGCUCUAUAGCUGCUUGAAGUCUCAUGAUGCAUGCUUCAUAUUCAGCCAUAUUGUUUGUGCAAUCAAAGUCCAACUUGCACAUAAAAGGAUAAUGAUCGCCAUUCGGAGAUACCAAGACUGCCCCAAUUCCAUUUUCGACUGCAUUAGAAGCCCCAUCAAAAUUGAACCUCCAAGAAGAAUUUUCAGUCAUUGCUAUACACAUCAACUCCUCAUUUGGAAAAUCAAAGUUUAGUGGCUCAUAAUCCUCUAGAGCCCUACUAUCCAAGAAGUCCGCUACCGCACUUCCUUUUAUAGCCUUCUGACUUAUGUAGACUAUAUCAAACUCCAAAAGUAAAAUUUGUCAUCUCGCCAUUCUCCCAUUUAGAGCUGUUGACUCCAUCAUGUAUUUCAACGGAUCAAGUUUUGAGAUGAGCCAAGUGGUAUGGUAUAGCAUGUACUGUCUUAAUCUCCGAGUUGUCCAAAUCAGCGCACAACACAAUUUUUCGAUUGGUGAAUAUCUCAUCUCACAGUCAGUGAACUUCUUACUGAGAUAAUAAAUUGCCUUCUCCUUUUUCCCUGACUCAUCAUGCUGGCCAAGCACACAUCCCAUAGAAUUACUGAACACUGAUAAGUACAGUAUUAAUGGUUUAUCUGGGCUGGGUGGAGACAAUACCGGAGCAUUCAACAAAUACUGCUUGACCUUUUCAAAAGCAUUCUGGCAUUCCCCAUCCCAAAUACCUUGAUUGUGCUUUCUGAGGAGGCGAAAGAUAGAAUCACAUUUCUCGGUUAGUUGUGAAAUGAACCGAGCAAUGUAAUUCAACCUUCCUAGGAAUCCUCAAACUUCUUUUUGAGUACGUGGUGGAGGUAAUUCUCAUAUGGCUCUGACCUUGUCUGAGUCGACUUCAAUUCCUUUUUCACUGACUACGAAGCCUAACAACUUUCCGGAUCUGGCUCCAAAGGUACACUUUGCUGGAUUGAGCUUCAACUGCAAUUUUCUCAACCUUACAAACAAUCUUCUCAAGUCCUCAAUAUGCUCUUUUUUCGUACGGGACUUGGCAAUCAUAUCAUUGACGUAUACCUCAAUAUCCUUAUGCAUCAUGUUGUGGAACAAGUUCACCAUGGCUCUUUUUCCUAAUGACAUUACUUUAUAGCAAAAGGUGUCCCACAAGGUUAUAAAGGUGGUUUUAUCCAUGUCCUCUGGAUGCAUCUUUAUCUGGUUGUAUCCUGAGAAACCAUCUAUAAAGGAGAACAAUGAAUAUCCCGUUGUAUUAUCUACUAAAGUGUCAAUGUGGGGUAAAGGAAAAUUAUAUUUUGGGCUUGCUUUGUUCAAGUCUCUGUAAUCAACACACAUUCGUACUUUUCCAUCCUUCUUGGGGACUGGUACAAUGUUAGCUACCCAUUCGGAGUACUUCACUUCUUGUAAGAAUCCUGUAUCAAACUGUUUCUUGACUUCAUCCUUUAUCUUCAAAACGAUAUCUGGCCUCAUUCUUCGCAACUUCUGUUGGACUGGCUUACAAUCUUGUCUUAUCGAAAGACGAUGUGCCACAAUGUCAGUACUCAAUCCAGGCAUAUCCUGAUAUGACCAGACGAAGAUAUCCUUGAACUCUCGAAGCAACUCAAUCAGACCAUGCCUUGUGUCCACGCUAAUUAGGGUUCCGAUUUUCAACUCCUUCCCUUCCUCUAGGGCUAUAUUCUCUAUUACCUCUUUCUCAUGUGGCAUGAUUUGUUUCUCCUCCUGCUUAACCAUUCUUAACAGAUCGAGAGAUAUGUCACAAUCCUGAACAUCUUCAAAAUCUUAAGGUUCCUCUAAACACAUGUCUUGCUCGCCAGAGAAAUUAGGAGCUGUAGUAUCAGCACUCAUAUCAUUGAUAUCUAAGGACCUGUGGGGGUAUGAAAGAAUAUACAAAGAAUGAAUGAAUUAAAGAAUGAUUGUUUAUGUGCUAUGAAUAAAAGAAUAAGAAUUUCUAGAAUUUGAAGGAAUAUUGGUCGAUAAAAAUAGAACGAUACUCUUUUAAAUUGAUAAAAAGUUAUGUUUUAUUUAAAUAAUUAUAGAUGAACAUAAGCCUAUUUCACGAAUAUAAUUAUAAUACCCCGAAAAUUUUUACAGUAAAAUAUUAUCCCUGAUAUGGUAAAAUAAGGAAAUAAAGUGACAAAAAGGGAAUUUUUGAGUGAUGUCAAUAUUGAGAAGUAUAUUAUGAUAUAUUAAUUCAAGAAAGGACUAAAUUGCAAAGAUGAGAAAAGUCUUGUUGCACAAGAGUAAAUACUCAAAAUUUAAGGGGUUGAAGUGUAAAUAUAAAAAAAGUUGAAGGACUAAUGGUGCAAAUAUUUUAAGGGUGGAAUGAUCUAGAAAUAAAAAAAAUUGAUGAAUUAGGACCAAAUUGAAUAGGUAAAAAAUUAUGAGGGACUAAAUCGUAAUUUUACCAAAUUAAGUGAUGACUCAAGGAUGGAAUUCUAAAAGAUCAUGAAGGGCAAAAUGGUCAAUUAGUAAGAGAGAGAAUUCUAGAAUGUAAUGAUUAUGUUGAUAUUUUAAAUUAAUUAAUUAGAUAAAUAUUAUUUUAUUAAUAUUUUAUGAGAUGUUUAUUAUUAUAUUAUUAUUUAUUUAGUAUAAAAGGAAGGAAAGAUGAAGAAUUAUCAACACAUUUCCUUUCCCAUGCAAACUAACGUAAGAUAAGAAGAAGAAAAGAAGUUUGCUUUCUUUACAAUUUAGUCCUUCCACCAAAAAUUCAUUAUUUUCACCUAAAAAUUGAAAGAAUUUCCAUAGCCAUCAAGAGAGAAAGAUAGCAAGGAGAUGAUGGGGAGCAAGAAUAUCAAGUUGGAUUCAAGAAAUCGAAGCUGGAGGAGAGAGAAAAAUCAAGUUAAAGAUUGAAGUCAAUAAGAAAAGGUAGGUACAUCAAGAUUUCAAUAUGUUUUUAAGUUUGUUAUUAUUGAUAAAGCAUGGAAAUAAUGUUAUAGUAGAGUUUUCUUACAUAAGGUCCUAUGUUCUUGAUAUCUUAGUGAAGAAAAAAUAAGAGAAAGUGAUGAGAAAUGGUGUAGAAAAAGAAAAUAAGGAUGUUAUAACAUGGUAAUUAAUAUCUUGUACUAAAACAGUUUUGGACAGUAGCAGUAGUCUAACUUUGAAAAAUCAUAAAAAAAUUGUAGAAAUCUAAUUAUGGGAUGAAUAAGAUAUGAAAUUAAAUAUUAUUAAGCCUAGUUUCUUAUAGAAGAAAUUAUGUAAGCAAUGGAAUUCUAAAUCAUGAGAUAUGAUGAAUUUUGUGAGACAAGGUCAGAAUGAUUUCGGGUUCCCCUGUUCUGAAUUUGUAAAAUCAUAAAAAAAAUUGGAUAAAAAUAAUUAGGGGAUUAAAUUUAUAUGUUUAGAAUCCUGAAUGAGUCUAUUUUCAAUAGAAAUAAAUAUGAACAUCAUUCGAAUUCUGUACAAGGAGAUUAUUAAUUUAUAGUGAAGAAGGGUCACAACUGUCAAACAACAGAAUAGGGGUAACUUUAAAGAAUAAACUGUACUUAUUGACUAAUCCAAAAAUUCUGAAAAUUUUAUGGUAAUAAGAUAAAUGAGUCUAGUUUCAGGGGAAAUUAGCAGAUCUUAAUUUGGAGUCCUAUAGCUCCAGAUAUAAAUAAUUUAGUGACUAUGACACAGAUGGACAGCUUGAAUAUUCAUAAAAGUAAAUAAUAAAGAUUAUAGAUAAUGUUACUUACAAGUGUGCUACAAUCAUCAAGGAUGUGGAAUGGAGAGCAGGACGAGGAAAACAUAUAUGAAUAUUCAUUAAGCAUGGCUAAUUUGCAUAUUUUAGGCUUAGGGACUAAAUUGAAUAAAAGUAAAACUUUAUGGGUAAUUUUGUAAAAAUGUCAGAAAUGACCAAAUUGCAUGAAAUGGAUUAUUUUAUUAUUUAAAUUACAAAAUUGAAUGAAAUUAUUAAUUUAGUUCAAGAUCGGGGGAAAACAUGUUUUAGGGAUUAAAUUGAAAAGUGUUGAAAUUAUGGAAAAUUCUGAUAUUUUAUAGAAUUCAUGGACUGUUAUCAAUAUAAGUGAGAAUAAUAGCUGGAAAUAAGGAUUAAAUUGCAAGAAUUUUAUUUUCUUGACCCUAAGGAUGAAAUCAUCAUUAAUUAAAAGUUUAGGGGCAAAAUGGUAAUUUUGCCUAGAGCAUUAAUUAAAUGCAUUAGAAGAUGAAAUGAAUGAAAAUGAUGAUCAAAUUUAUUUAUAAAGAUCCGGACGACUCAAAUAUGAGACUUGAUCGUGGAAAAGAAAAGAUAUCGGAUUAAUGAAAUUAUAAACACAAACAAGCAAUGAGGUAAGUUUGUGUAACUUGAAUUGUAUUUUAAAUACUUGAAAUAUGUGGUUAUGUGAUGAAAAUAUGAUUUGAAUUUUCAAUUCAUGAUAUUUGAUGAAAUAUUGAUAGUACUCGAUAUAAAUUGAAAAUAAAUCCCAGUUGAAUGAAAGGAAAAUUUGAUGGAUCUCAGAAAAGGAAUUGACGGUAAAAAGGAUCUAGCCCAGACGGGUGAUCCUAUUCUGAUAUAGCCCUCCCGAAGAAUACGUGUAAAAUGGAUUUAGCCCGGACGGGUAAUCUGAAUUAGGGUCUGAAUUUAGCCUGGACUGGUAAUUCAGAUCCAAGCUCAUUAGAGUAAUUGUCGUUGCAGGGGAUUUAGCCUGGACUGGUAAUCCCAACAAUACUCUAUCAGUUUAUAUUACAGGGGAUUUAGCCUGGACUGUUAAUCCCACUGUAAGGAUGAGGUUCGCGGGAGUGUGCUCUUUGAUAUGAAAUGUGUAAGACCAUGGUUGAAAGAUACCAUGGCAGCCUGAUAUGAAAUGUUUAAGACCAUGGUUGAAAGAUACCAUGGCAACCUGAUAUGAAAUGUGUAAGACCAUGGUUGAAAGAUACCAUGGCAACGUGAUAUGAAAUGUGUAAGACCAUGGUUGAAAGAUACCAUGGCAACGUGAUAUGAAAUGAAUAAGACCAUGGUUGAAAGAUACCAUGGCAACAUGACAGAAAAUGAGUAAGACCAUAGUUGAAAGACACUAUGGCAUCAUGUCAAAGAUAAAUAAGACCAUGGAUGGGAGAUGCUCUAACAUCUCUUGAACAAUUGAUAUUCAGGUAAUAUGUAUCAAAUGACGAAUGGUUAUAAGAAAUAAUUAUGAAGAUAGAUAAACUAAAUAAGUAUAAGUACAUGGAAUAUAAUUUAUGUUAAGUUUGAUAUAAGUUAUUACCGGAAUAAAUAUACAUAAAAUAUAUGGAAAUGAUGGAGCAUGAAAUAUUGAUAUAAUGAAAUGAAUGAUAUAUGCUUAUGAAGAAACGGUAAGAGCAUGAUAUGUUUCAUGACAUGUACAUAUAUGAUUAUCUUUGAUAUGUUGAUACAAGGAAAUUAUGUAAGUUGAGACUAUUAUUAAACUCAAGUGCGAUAUGUCGGGAAAAUAGAUAUAUCAAUGUUGAAUUUAUAUGAGAUAUGUGCAAGUAUACUAACAAUGUUGCUGUUUGAUGCUUAUACAAGUGUCAAACUGUUGAUUGAAUGGUAAUAUAUUUAUUUAUAUGAUACAUUGAAUCGGUAAGUAUUUAAAUUUUUUUUUAGUGAUCUGUAAAUGGUAGUAAUGCUUCGAAACCCUGUUCUGGCAGCGGAUACGGGUUAGGGGUGUUACAAUAAUCUUACUACUCCUAGGCCCUAGAGUAACAGACAUGUUUUGAGAAUUACUCUGAAAAAUUCCUAAAGACUACAGGAAGGUCUUCCGCAGUCCAAUUAUUCAGAGAGCUCCCCGGUUCGUAAGGGCGAAUGCCCUCGAGGCUUCCUUGCUCCGAUCCUUCAUUGUGUACAGCAUUAACUUGAUGACUUUCCUUUAUCAGCAGUCCUCCUGAUUUGAAAGAUUUGGAUAUAGGUGGGAAUGUCAUCGGUUCCCACUCCACUUCUCUUCCAUUCAAACGCGUCUUUCUUCUCGCUUGGCGCUUCUCUAUUUCCUGCCUCUUGUGCUUGUGGUCUAGCUUGAAGCCCAAGCCAAAGCGGUCCUUCUUCUCAAUCAGUUUUGGGAUUUGAACCCCUCCUUGCAACUGUCUUCCUAGCCCUUUUCCCGACAAUGCUCCUUUCCCCAUCAUCAUUUGUAGGGCCAUCCUUGUAGCUUCAGACAUUUUGGGUACCGGCACUUCACUUCCUUCCAAAAUGAAGGUGGCAUUAAUGACCUCUAAAGAGCGGAAAGAACAUUCAAUAGCCUCUUCAUUUGCCUCAACAUAAGGGGCCUUGCUGGUAACUGCCGCUAUGAUGUCCUCUUCCACAUUGAUGGUUAUUAAGCGACCAUCUGUCACUAACUUUAAUUUUUGGUGCAAUGAAGAGGGCACCGCUCCUGCCGAGUGUAUCCAUGGUCUCCCCAAUAAACAAUUGUAGGAGGGCUUGAUAUCCAUUACUAGGAAAUCAACUUCAUACGUAUUCGGCCCAAUCUCCAAAGGGAUGUCAAUUCAUCCCAUUACUUUUCUUUCAGUUCCAUCAAAGGCUCUUACCACAUUAUGACACGUUUUCAUAUGCAAACUGUUAAUAGGCAAUCUGUUCCGGGUGGAUAGCGGCAGGACGUUCAAAGCAGACCCAUUAUCCACGAGUACACUUGGAAGUGUGUAUCCUUUGCACCGAGUAGUGAUGUGUAGGGCUUUGGUUGACCCUAUGCCCCCAGGUGGAAUUUCAUCAUCAUUAAAAUAAAUGAAAUUGUCAGCACUAAUGUUGUUUACUAACCGGUCUAGCUUAUUAACGGAUAUGUCAUGGGUAACAUAUGUUUCGUUAAGCACCUUUAACAAUGCAUCUCGAUGCACCUCAGAAUUCAAGAGUAGGGCUAACACUGAUAUACGCGCCGGCUGCUUGCGCAACUGCUCGACCACGCUAUACUCACUAUGUUUCAGGAAUUUUAGAAACUCCUUAGCCUCUUCCUCCUUUACCGGCUCAUUGAUGAGUACUUCAGUCUCUUUCUCCCUUUCAGCCUCGACAUCUUUCGUCUUUGCAGGCUCUACUAUGAUAUUCCCCCCGUCAUAACGUUUCCCACUUUGUGUAUGAGAACCUUUAUUUUGAGUGCCCCUAGAUGCCCUAGCUAUACUCUCCCCCUCAGGUAUUGUUAUAUUGCAGUCAUAGCUCCAUGGCACCCUCCUGUCAUCCUUAUAAGGGAAAGGAUAGGGUUUACGGAUAACUAUUUUGGGCCUAGUUUGCGACCCUUCCUCAUUAUUCCCUGGCAAGGAAAUAACAAUUCUCAGUUGGUUGGUUCUUUGUCGUUCAUUCUCCAGCACACAUAUUUGUCUUUCAUAAGAACUACCUUCAGAAACCUGUAACUCUUUGUUAACUAUAAGGCCUUGUACCAUGACCUUGAACUUUUCACAAUUUUGGAUCAUAUGACCCAUUUCCCCAUGGAACUCACAAUGGUUCUCUAUUCCUUCUCCUCCUUUUCUAGAGGUCAGUAUACCUCUCUUCACUAUCUCCUCCCAUAUUACCUUCAUAGGUGUCUUCACCUUAGCAAUGUCUUCCUUGAUUUUUCUUUUCUUUGUUUCAUCAAUGGCAUUCACUCCUUGAUUGCCAUGAUCCGGUAACAGAUUUUUGGCAUUAGGGGUACUGUCGAAUUUCACAACCCCCAUCUUGAUAAGCCUCUCCACAGCCUUCUUGAAUCCUGUGCAGUUUUCGAUCGAAUACCCCGAUAUUCCCGCAUGAUAUUCGCACUUAGCAUUUGCAUCAUACCAUCUGGGGUACGGUGGCUGUAGUGGUUUCAAGUGAAAUGGAGCAAUGUCAUGUGCAUCAUACAAGCUUUGAUAAAGCUCACAAUACGUCACAGGGAUAGGCGUAAAUUGUAUUCUUUCAGAAUUCUGUCUUAUGCCCGAUUCCUGUCUUUGGGUAUUUUGUUGUUCGACCAUAGCUGCUUUGGGUUGACCAACUGUGAUUGCCCUCGAGUUGAGACUAUUCACCUCAUUGUCCUUUCUCCUUAGGGCCGAUCUUUUAGCCAUUUCCCCCUCGAUUUUACCGCCUCUCACGGCAUUCUCAAUCAUCUCACCCGUCAUAACUAUAUCCGCGAAACUUUUUGUGGUACUUCCAAUCAUAUGUGUGAUGAAUAGCGCCUUCAAAGUAUUAAUAAAUAACAUGGUGGUUUCCUUUUCUAGCAAUGGUGGUUGUACUUGCAUUGCCACCUCCCUCCAUCGUUGUGCAUAUUGCCUAAAACUUUCAUUAGGUUUUUUCUCCAUGUUUUGAAGUGUGAUCCUAUCUGGUGUCAUAUCAGUCACAUGGUUAUACUGUUGCAUGAAAGCCUGUGCAAGAUCUCUCCAUGAACUGAUUCUUGCACGGCUCAACUGAUUGUACCACUUAGCCGCCGCUCUCACUAGGCUGUCUUGAAAACAAUGGAUCAAUAGUUGAUCGUUGUUCACAUAACCAGUCAUUCUUCUACAAAACAUUGUUAUGUGUGCCUCUGGGCAAGUAGUCCCAUUGUACUUUUCAAACUCUGGCAUCUUAAAUUUAUGAGGAAGCACCAAAUCUGGAACCAAACUUAAGUCUUUGGCAUCAAUCCCAUGAUGAUUGCCAGCACCUUCUAAAACCCUAAACUUCUCCUCUAACCACCUGCAACGAUCUUCCAAUUGUUUUGAGGAUUCAGUGGUCAUUCUUUCCUUCUCCAUUAAAUCCAGAUCAGGAGUAAUAGGGUUGAUCGAGCUAUCACCCAAAUUAUUUCCCAACCCAGAUGGGAAAUUUAUGGGGAUUCUAGCAUCCACUGGCCCAUAUUGAGGCCUUACUGUGACAGAUGGCCUUCUAAGAGGUGCCUCGGUUUGCAGGGGUACAUGAGGCAGAGUAAAACCCGGAGGAGGACCUUCAUUAUCCUCUUCAGUGAUCGACAUGGGAGCUUUUCCUUUAUCAGUGGCUCUUAGCAGCUGAGCCAUUUCAACCAUCAUGUUUCUCUGAGCCUCUAGCAUCUGCUCCCUCAUUUCAUUCUGUAUUUUGGCCAACUGCUCUUGCAUUUGAUCUUGCAUAUCUUUUUGUAAUUGCUCAAACCUUUGAUCCAUGUUCUUAGUUUUAGUACGAGUGCCGUAAGGAUGUGUGAUUUCCAGAUUUUCUUUUCUACCUCUCUCUUUUCUACCUCUCUGGAAAGUAAACUUUAACUAAUCAGGGUCUUUCUAUAGCUUUGAAUGCAAAUGAUGUGAUGAAAUGUUAUGAGAUGCAAAUGCAUGAAUGCAAAAAGAAUAUCGAUUCUGGUUCAACUUCAUUUAGAAAAUUUUAUUUAGAAAAAGAAUAUCUUUACAUAUAAGAGGAUUACAAAUACGAUUUCGCCCUAAGGCCCAAAGCUUUAACUCUAUCUAAAAAAAGGGCUAACUUUUGUCCUACAUCUGAUGAUGAUGAAUACAUCAGACUCAAUACGUCAGCUCGAAUUGCCAAGUCUUGCACAUACUCAGCAACCUCUCGAAUCUGAGCUAUGGCUUCACCAAUGACAUGAUCCCUAUUUCUGACCUGUUCUUUAGCCUGAUGUAGCUCUCCCCUCAGAUAAUCCUCUUGCGCCUUGAGCUCCUUUAACUCGACCGUAGAAUUAUGGUUUUGGUGCCAACGUAGGGAUUUUUCAAGUUCCAUUACCUUGGUCUUCAAUCCUUUAUUCUCUUCCUCUAAUACCAAAUUCUGCCCCCGCAUUUCUUGGAAUUUCCUCUCCCAGUACUCGGCUCUAUCCUUUUCUUCUUGAACUUUCUUCUGCCACUGAUUCGAAGAUCCUCCUACUCUCGCCCUCCUCAAUGCUACUUGUGCCCUUUUGAAAUGCUCCAUUAGAUCAUCUCAAUCUUCCUCAAUCUUCCUUUUUUCUUUCCUCUCUUUCUCGGCUUCCAUCUUUUGAACAUCAACGUCCAAACUCAAGUACAUCUUUUCUUCUUCGAGCUUUGCUAUCCUCCUCUCGAACUCAUAGCUUUGUCUCUCGAACUCCAGUUUCAUAAUUUCUAACUUUGAGGGCCUUACUUGCAAAUAUUCCUCCAUUGGUCGAGCUCCUUCCAUACUUGGCUUAGGGAUAUUAUCAUUAACUCUUCUACCUCUCCAUUUUAUGUAUUUCGGUGUCGUAGCGGGGCUAAUAGCUUUUCCUCUCAAUCGACAAGUCUUCUUCCAAGCACUAGAAACUUCACUAACCCUCCUCUUGUAAUCGGCUCCUCUAUAUACAAACUCACUUUGAGCCAACCCCUGAGUCGCUGGUAUGAACUAUCUCAAUUCAUGCUGCCUCAGUACGAGCAAAGGGGCAUAGCCAAUGGCACCCCAAAUCCCCAAUAAGGGUACCCAAUCAAAACUACAGCAUCGGUAAAGAACCUCACCAGGCAUCAUCCACGGAGCCCUCUACUCGACAUCUUUCGAUUGAAGGUUCUGAAGUAACGCUAUCCAAUUCUCUUCUGGAACAUCAACUCUCCUGGUUGAAGCUACUAUAUCUUUCAACGGUGAAUAAUCCUCAAAGUAAACCCGACAAACCACCUACUAUAGCUUUUCCUUUAUCAAUGGCUCUUAGCGGCUGAGUCAUUUCAACCAUCAUGUUUCUCUGAGCCUCUAGCAUCUGCUCCCUCAUUUUAUUCUGUAUUUUGGCCAACUGCUCUUGCAUUUGAUCUUGCAUAUCUUUUUGUAAUUGCUCAAACCUUUGAUCCAUGUUCUUAGUUUUAGUACGAGUGCCGUAAGGAUGUGUGAUUUCCAGAUUUUCUUUUCUACCUCUCUUUUCUACCUCUCUGUAAAGUAAACUUUAACUAAUCAGGGUCUUUCUAUAACUUUGAAUGCAAAUGAUGUGAUGAAAUGUUAUGAGAUGCAAAUGCAUGAAUGCAAAAAGAAUAUCGAUUCUGGUUCAACUUCAUUUAGAAAAUUUUAUUUAGAAAAAGAAUAUAUUUACAUAUAAGAGGAUUACAAAUACGAUUUCGCCCUAAGGCCCAAAGCUUUAACUCUAUCUAAAAAAAGGGCUAACUUUCGUCCUACAUCUGACGAUGAUGAAUACAUCAGACUCAAUACGUCAGCUCGAAUUGCCAAGUCUUGCACAUACUCAGCAACCUCUCGAAUCUGAGCUAUGGCUUCACCAAUGACAUGAUCCCUUUUUCUGACCUGUUCUUUAGCCAGAUGUAGCUCUCCCCUCAGAUAAUCCUCUUGCGCCUUGAACUGCUCAACCCGGAGUUCACUGUCAUGCAAUGCCACCUCCAAAUCUUCAACCUUGCUUCUUAGCUCUUUUAACUCGACCGUAGAAUUAUGGUUUUGGUGCCAACGCAGGGAUUUUCCAAGUUCCAUUACCUUGGUCUUCAAUCCUUUAUUCUCUUCCUCUAAUGCCAAAUUCUGCCCCCGCAUUUCUUGGAAUUUCCUCUCCCAGUACUCGGCUCUAUCCUUUUCUUCUUGAACCUCCUUCUGCCACUGAUUCGAAGAUCCUCCUACUCUCGCCCUCCUCAAGGCUACUUGUGCCCUUUUGUAAUGCUCCCUUAGAUAAUCUCGAUCUUCCUCAAUCUUCCUUUUUUCUUUUCUCUCUUUCUCGACUUCCAUAUUUUGAACAUCAACGUCCAAACUCAAGUACAUCUUUUCUUCUUCGAUCUUUGCUAUCCUCCUCUCGAACUCCAAGCUUUGUCUCUCGAACUCCUGUUUCAUAAUUUCUAACUUUGAGGGCCUUACUUGCAAAUAUUCCUCCAUUGGUCAAGCUCAUUCCAUACUUGGCUUAGGGAUAUUAUCAUUAACUCUUCUACCUCUCCAUUCUAUGUAAUUCGGUGUCGUAGCGGGGCUAAUAGCUUUUCCUCUCAAUCGACAAGUCUUCUUCCAAGCACUAGAAACUUCACUGACCCUCCUCUUGUAAUCGGCUUCUCUAUAUACAAACUCACUUUGAGCCAACCCCUGAGUCACUGGUAUGAACUGUCUCAAUCCAUGCUGCCUCAGUACGAGCAAAAGGGCAUAGCCAAUGGCACCCCAAAUCCCCAAUAAGGGUACCCAAUCAAAACUACCGCAUCGGUAAAGAACCUUACCAGGCAUCAUCCACGGAGCCCUCCACUCGACAUCUUUCGACUGAAGGUUCUGAAGUAACGCUAUCCAAUUCUCUUCUAGAACAUCAACUCUCCUGGUUGAAGCUAUUAUAUCUUUCAACGGUGAAUAAUCCUCAAAGUAAACUCGACAAACCACCCUAUUUAUCAACCGAAAAUGACUGUAGAACCAAGCCAAAAGCAACUGAGCACACCCUAUAAACCUACCAACACCAGCCCUCCUACAUGCACCUAAAGACCUAAAUGUUUCUGCCAAAAUUGCAGGGAUAGAAGUGACCUUUUUACUGAGUCGAUGAAAAAAAGAUCCGUGGUUUCCUCAUCCACAUAUCUCAAAGCCCUAGGGAAGACCAUCAAUCCAUAUAAACUUAGGGCAAAAACAUCUAUCUUCUUUGUCUCAUCAAGGUGUGUCAAAAUCAAAUCUUUCAAAGCAUCCCACGAAAUGCACUUGCACUCACCCUUUUCUUUAAUUCGGGCCGUGGCCCACUGCUCGCUCAUCCCCGUAAUAAACAUCAAUUUCUUCCAAAAGGUAGGGACACAAGAAGCUCGGGAAUAGAUCCAAUCAUUCUGAACCCGGGGCAACGAAGUAAAGCAAUGUACUCUUCCACAGUAGGUACCAUGUCUACUUUCCCAAAAGUGAAGCAAUUGUACGCCGGGUUCCAAAACUGAGCAAGGGCUCUAAAUAAGUGCUCGUCUAUCUGAACAUCAAGCAAGUAAAGUAAGUCUCCAUAGUUACCGUAGAAUAAUUGCUUAGUCUCUUUGCCCCACUGAUCCCAAAUUUCCUUAAGCUCUUGGAGAUUAUUCUGUGUGACACUUAUACGAGUAUAAUCUGGCAGCUCCGACACAUAUCCUAUAGCUAUACUGUCUCCCUUUUCUAGUUGAGUUUGCUCGGACCAUCUGUGGACGUUAACGUUGCCUUCCACUUUAUCAAGAAGUCCGUUCUCUAUAAUAAAACUUCUUAAUUUAGAAACUGACCAUGAACCGAUAUCUUUGUAAAUGCAAAAUGACAUGCAAGCAAAAGAAAAGAGAUAGUCAGUAUCACAUAAUAUCAAUAAAUUUCAACGAUAACUUAUAAGGAUAAUGUCUAAGUUGGGCUUAUACGGUCCUUCGACAUGGGGUUGGUUCUAAAUUUUGAGGUACCCAAACCAGCAGAUUCCUCGAUCCUCACCCAUUAUAGGCUCAUUUGAAUCGAGUUCAGUUCAGGGGAAUACAUUUCCCUAUGGCUACAUGGAGAUGAAAAUCUCACGAAACCAUAGGUACGGAUGUAUCCCGAAAGUGAUCCACUAUCCUGCACGGAGGCGAAAACCUCACGAAGGCGUAGCUUCUCACUCCCACUUAAGAGUGUGACCACAACGGUCAUGCAAAAUGCAAUGCGAUCAAAAUAUAGCAUGUAAUAAUACAAACACAUGUAAUGCAAAGAGGAUUAAAUUUUAAAAUUUUUAAUUUCCGACAUUAAGACAAGAGAUAAUCAAUUACAUGGCCUGACUCUCUUAUUACAUCCCCAGUGGAGUCGCCAAGCUGUCGAAACCAUUUUCAAAUCGAGUUUUGGAAAAUGGGAAUCGAUUUUAAAAAACGAAAACGAGAGUCGCCACCAAUCUUUUUAGGUGUGAUUGGAUCACCUUUAAAACAUUUUGUUUUAAAAUCAUUAGUUUUGGUCCACGAAAUAAAAGAACAGGUUUGGGAGUCGGUUACAUACGAGGAAGGAUUAGCACCCUCGUAACGCCCAAAAAUUGGUACCUAAUUGAUUAUCAAAUGUCUUUAAUGUGAAAGAAAAAAAAAUUUAAGAUGUAGUCCUCUUUAAAAUAUUUUAACUUUGAAAAUUGGGAUUAACUAGGGUCAAAGUAUUGACAUUAAGUUAUCCCUUUUUUGAAAUUCCUAUAUCGAAACAGCAAAACGCUAUAUCCAAUAAGUUAGGAUAUAUUGCUUUGAAAUUCCAAGAUAGUGGCUUGCAUUUAGAAAACCUCUAAAAAAACUUAGAAGGGUAUUUAAUUAUUCGAAUUCAACGAGAAAAGUGGCAACCCAAUAAGUGAGGGCACUGCUUUCUCGAAAUUUCCAAACACCAAGCAUUGCCUUAUUUGCAAAAAAUCUUAUUUCGAGGUAACAAACAAAUGAAUAAAACGAAUAAAAAGAUAAUAACAAAUAAGCUAGGAAAUAUUCGAGAUUAAAAAAAACUAGUAAUAAAUAAACAAUCAUUAUGUAAGAAUAAAGAAUGAUAGUAUAGUGAAGAUAAUAAUAAUAUUAAUAGUAAUAAUACAAAUAAAAAUUUUGGAAUGAUGUGUGAAAUUAUAUAUAUGUAUGUGAAUAUAUAGUUAAGUAAACAAUAUAUAUAGUGAGUGAAGACUAAAAGGUAAAACAAGUAUAUUUAAAGAGUAAUGGGUAAAAAUAUAAUAAUAGUGUAAUAGUAGUAAUAACGUAAUAGUAUUAGAAAUAUACGAUAUAUAAUAUUGAAGGUAAAUACAUAAUAUAUACAUAUUAGAAAUAAUCAUAAUAUUAGAAACAACUAUUAAUAAUACUACAUAAAUAGAUAUAUAGUAGUAGCAUAUACAUGAUAUAGUUAAAAAAUAUAUAAAGUAAGAUAAUAUGGGAAAUAGAAAAAUAUAUAAACGAUAUAAUAUUAGGGCAUAUGCAAAACAAUAAAAAUACAAUAUUAAAAGAUAUAUAUAAUGUAUACAUAAUAUAAUAUUAAAAUAUUUACAUGGUAUAUGCAUAAUAAUGUAAAAAAUAAACUAUUAGUAAUAUUAUAAAUAUACAUAUAGUAGUAAUAAUAAUAUAAAUGUAUUUCAUAUAAACAGGUAUGCACGUAAAAAAAAGAAGAAAAGAGAAAAAUAAUAAUUACAAAAGUAUGAAAUCAAAAUAAUAUGUAGAAACAUGUUUAUUCUAAAAAGAAUAACUGAAACUUAAUUGAGAGAAGAAACAAAAUCCAAGAGAUAACUUACAAGUAAAACAAAUUAUUGAAACAUAAUUUUGGGCUAAAAUUAGUUGCGUAUAAAUGCCCGAGAUCUAAAAUUAAAAAUGUCCCAAAUCUUAAAAUACUGCGCAAAGGGGGCAAAUUGAAAUAGCACACAGACUGCAGGGUUAAUUUAAAAUAAUAUAAAACUUAAAUAUGGCCCGAUUGAAGGCUAGCACAAAGGAGGGGACCAAUUGCGCAAAUUACCCAAUUAAAGGUAACAUGCCUGGUCCCAAGCAAAAAAGUUGAUUCCACUCCCCCCACGCUACUUUGUUUUAUUAUUAAUUAAAACUACCCUCCCAUACUAUUUUGUUUUAUUAUUAAUUAAAAAUAUUCCCUCAUACUAUUUUGUUUUUAUUAUUAGUUAAAACCAUUCCUCCAUACUAUUUUGUUUUUAUUAUUAAUUAAAAUCAUACUUUAUUUUCUCUUUUUUUAUCAUAUAAAAAAAACUUUUUUUAAGAAAAAAACAACAAAAAAAAGAGUUAAAACACCACCUUACCACCCUACAUUAAUUUUUCAAAAUAAAAAGAAGGCUCUCAACCCUUCCCCUCCUCCGGUCAUCGGACCGGCCAUCAAUCGUCACGCCGGUCACCGGCCACCGACGGCGCCGCCGCCGUCCACGGUGGGCGAAAAUUCUUUCGAGGCCCUUUUUCACUUCUCUUCUCGAGUAGAGCCCGGAUUUGGGGUUAAAAUGACCGAAAAACCUUCAAAAAUUAAUGAGAAACACCAUAAAACUCAAGAAUCCAUCCGAAUUUCGGCCACCGAUCCUUGGCGGUGGCUUCCUCGGUCGUCCACAAUGUUGGAAAACUGAACACCGGUAAGUUCCUUCCCUCUUUUCCUCUUUUUUAUUUUUCAAGUUUUUUUGUGUUAAAAUAUUUGUAAAAUAGAUAAAAGGAACGAAUAGAAAGAAGAUCAAAAAUAAAAAUAAGGACAAACACCUUUUGAACUUGUUUUCUCCUUUUGAUUUCUCCCGAAAAUCUCUGUAAUACAACCCCCCUUAAUACAAUCUCUUCUCUCCAAAAAUCAAUCGAUUCUUCCUCAAAAUACCAUUGAUCCCCCCCUUUUACAAUCGGUUCUAGUAUGGCUUUUAUAGUCAUUUACAAACUUUAUUAUAUAUAUUUGCUAUCUUUUCUUCUUCUUGUAUGGCAGGCAAAUGGUGGUGGAGGCAUGUGCCACAUGGUAGUGGUUGGAAGUGGGUGGUUGAGGCUUGCGGCUAGGGUUUCUAAUUUCUGAAAAUAGGUUGUGGGCUAGGGUUUCUAAGCUUUUGGGCUUCUUUUAGGUUUUAAUUUUUGGGUUGUAAUUGGGUUGGUAGCUUUGUUUGUAAAUGGACUUUUAAUGGGCAUUUUGAUUUUUUUCUUUAUUUUUUUUUCAAAAUUUGGUUUAUUUAUUUUAAGGCCCGAGCAAAAUAUGGGUUCUACAAUAAUCAUCCAAGAAAAUAAAUAUAUAUAAGUUUUAUUGACCGUUACAAACUAAUAUACACUCAUAUAAGCUGAUAUUAACUAAAACAAAUCAAAACACAAUGAAAUUUUAACUGAAGCGAAACUUAAACUACUUUAUAUUAAUUCAAUAUUGAGACGACAGCCAAUUAUUAAGAAAAGAAAAAUAAUGGAAAUCAAUCAAAUUAUAAGUAAACUUACUUUCAUGCUUAAAAAAAAUUGCUAAAAUUAAAAAUUGAAAAAAAAAAUCCAGAUUUUGAUUAUUAAAAAUCAUCUAUAAUAUAUAUAUAAGUGUUAUACCAUAUUAUAUACCUGGUGCUGGACCAUUGAUAAACCUUGCCGGUGCUUGAAAAAAUAAUAACCCCAACCUCUGCAUCACAUAAAAUGGACAAUUCUUUACCUUUCUUCAACAACCCAUUUCGCCUCUUUGAAAACGUUACUUGCCUACUGUAGAACCCAUAUUUUGCCCGGACCUUAAAAUAAAUAAACCAAAUUUUGAAAAAAAAUAAAAAUAAAAUCAAAAUGCCCAUUAAAAGUCCAUUUACAAACAAAGCUACCAACCCAAUUACAACCCAAAAAUUAAAACCUAAAAGAAGCUCAAAAGCUUAGAAACCCUAGCCCACAACCUAUUUUUAGAAAUUAGAAACCCUAGCCGUAAGCCUCAACCACCCACUUCCAACCACUACCAAGUGGCACAUGCCUCUACCACCGUUUGACUGCCAUACAAGAAGAAGAAAAGAUAGCAAAUAUAUAUAAUAAAGUUUGUAAAUGGCUAUAAAAGCCAUACUAGAACCGAUUGUAAAGGAAAGAGGGGAUCGAUGGUAUUUUGAGGAAGAAUCGAUUGUAUUUUGGGGAGAGAAGAAAUUGUAUUAGAGGGGGUUGUAUUACAGAGACUUUUGGGAGAAAUCAAAAGGAGAAAACAAGUUCAAAAGGUGUUUUUCCUUAUUUUUAUUUUUUUGAUCUUUUUUCUAUUCGUUCGUUUUAUCUAUUUUACAAAUAUUUUUAACAAAGAAAAAAACUUGUAAAAAAUAUAAAAAAAGGGAAAGAGGGAAGGAUCUUACCGGUGUUCAGUUUUCCAACAUCGUGGACGACCGAGAAAGCCACCAUCGAGGAUCGGUGGCCGGAAAUCGAAUGGAUUCUUGAGCUCUAGGGUGAUUCUCAUUAAUUUUUGAUGGUUUUUGGGUCAUUUUAACCCCAAAUCCGGGCUCUACUUGAGAAGAGAAGCGAAAAAGGGCCUCGGAAGGGUUGAGAGAGUUGAGAGCCUCCUCUCUAUUUUGAAAAAUGAAUGUAGGGUGGUAAGGUGGUGUUUUAACUCUUUUUUUUGUUAUUUUUUUUCCUUAAAAAAAGGUUUUUUUUUAUGAUAAAAAAAGAGAAAAUAAAGUAUGGUUUUAAUUAAUAAUAAAAACAAAAUAGUAUGGGGGAAUGGUUUUAAUUAAUGAUAAAAACAAAAUAGUAUGAGGGAAUAGUUUUAAUUAAUAAUAAAACAAACUAAUAUGAGAGAGUAGUUUUAAUUAAUAAUAAAACAAAGUAGCGUGGGGGGAGUGGAAUCAACUUUUUUGCUUGGGACCAUGCAUGUUACCUUUAAUUGGGUAAUUUGCGCAAUUGGUCCCCUCCUUUGUGCUAGCCUUCAAUCGGGCCAUAUUUAAGUUUUAUAUUAUUUUAAAUUAACCCUGCAGUCUGUGUGCUAUUUCAAUUUGCCCCCUUUGCGCGGUAUUUUAAGAUUUGGGACAUUUUUAAUUUUAGAUCUCGGGCAUUUAUACGCAACUAAUUUUAGCCCAAAAUUAUGUUUCAAUAAUUUGUUUUACUUGUAAGUUAUCUCUUGGAUUUUGUUUCUUCUCUCAAUUAAGUUUCAGUUGUUAUUUUUAGAAUAAACAUGUUUCUACAUAUUAUUUUGAUUUCAUACUUUUGUAAUUAUUAUUUUUCUCUUUUCUUUUUUUUCACGUGCAUACCUGUUUAUAUGAAAUACCUUUAUAUUAUUAUUACUACUAUAUGUAUAUAUUUAUAAUAUUACUAAUAGUUUAUUUUUUACAUUAUUAUGUAUAUACCAUGUAAAUAUUUUAAUAUUAUAUUAUGUAUACAUUAUAUAUAUAUAUCUUUUAAUAUUGUAUUUUUAUUGUUUUGCAUAUGCCCUAAUAUUAUAUCGUUUAUAUAUUUUUUUUAUUUCCCAUAUUAUCUUACUUUAUAUAUUUUUUAACUAUAUCAUGUAUAUGCUACUACUAUAUAUCUAUUUAUGUAGUAUUAUUAAUAGUUGUUUCUAAUAGUAUGAUUAUUUCUAAUAUGUAUAUAUUAUGUAUUUACCUUCAAUAUUAUAUAUCGUAUAUUUCUAAUACUAUUACGUUAUUACUACUAUUACACUAUUAUUAUAUUUUUACCCAUUACUCUUUAAAUACACUUGUUUUACCUUUUACUCUUCACUCACUAUAUAUAUUGUUUACUUAUCUAUAUAUUCACAUAUAUAUAUAUAUAUAAUUUCACACAUCAUUCCAAAAUUUUUAUUUGUAUUAUUACUAUUAAUAUUAUUAUUAUCUUCACUAUACUAUCAUUCUUUAGUCUUACAUAAUGAUUGUUUAUUUAUUACUAGUUUUUUUUAAUCUCGAAUAUUUCCUAGCUUAUUUGUUAUUAUCUUUUUAUUCGUUUUAUUCAUUUAUUUGUUACCUCGAAAUAAGAUUUUUUGCAAAUAAGGCAAUGCUUGGUGUCUAGAAAUUUCGAGAAAGUAGUGCCCUAACUUAUUGGGUUGCCACUUUUCUCGUUGAAUUCGAAUAAUUAAGUACCCUUCUAAGUUUUUAAGAGGUUUUCUAAAUGCAAGCCACUAUCUUGGAAUUUCAAAGCAAUAUGUUCUAACUUAUUGGAUAUAGCGUUUUCCUGUUUCGAGAUAGGAAUUUCAAAAAAGGGAUAACUUAAUGUCAAUACUUUGACGCUAGUGAAUCCCAAUUUUCAAAGUUAAAAUAUUUUAAAGAGGACUACAUCUUAAUUUUUUUUUUCUUUCGACAUUAAAGACAUUUGAUAAUCAAUUAGGUACCAAUUUUUUAGCGUUACGAGGGUGCUAAUCCUUACUCGUACGUAACCGACUCCCGAACCCGUUCUUUUAUUUCGUGGACCAAAACUAAUGAUUUUAAAACAAAAUGUUUUAAAGGUGAUCCAAUCACACCUAAAAAGAUUGGUGGCGACUCUCGUUUUUGUUUUUUAAAAUCAAUUCCCAUUUUCCAAAACUCGAUAUGAAAAUGGUUUCGACACCUGCUAUUCAAAUUUUCUAUCUUUUUUAUUUCAAUUUUCCCUCUACCCAUCUGAAAAUUUUCUUCUUUCCUUUACUUUUUUCCCGGAAAAUUUUUAAAAGAAAAGAUAAACCCCAAAUUUUUUUUCUUAAAUUUUGAAAAAACCAAAGGUUUUUAUAACAACAAACAGAUCAAAGAAAAGAAGGCAAAAAAUUUAGGGGAUUGUAAAAAGAUUCUUUUUUUAAGAGAAAAAGAAAAAAAGUAAUGUUUAUAUAUAACAACUGUUUUCUUAAAUGGAAAUGGAAAAAGAAAAUAUGUGGCCAAAAUUAGGGUGAAAUCUUGAAAGGGGACAGAUUAGAUACUAUAUCUAGCAAUUAUCCAACUAUGGAAACUCAAUUUAUUAUAGGUUUAGUUUUUUUUUUUCUAUUUUUCAUAAUUUCUCUACCUUUUUAGUCUGCUGUUUUUGGCAUUUCAACUCAAAAUGGAUUUUAUUUUUGCUUUGGGUUUCUUUUUUUUAAUAUAAAAAGUGGCUUUUUAAUUAUUUAUAUAUUAUUAAUGUGUUUUAACAAUUUUUGUUAGUGAAUAUUGAUUUUUUUUUGAAUUACAAUAGAAGGACAAAGCCUUAACAAUAACAUGACUAGAGUGAUUUGAAUUUAAGCCGCACCUGAGACAUUGAAUACAAAUAUUUCACAAGGACAUAUAACACGUGUUUUUCAAAUUCAUGGCUAAAAUAAUAAUAAAAACCUCUUUAUUUUAUUGUAUUCAAAUAAUAAAAAAAUUAUGGUUUUAGUCGUACUGGCCGGUGCCAUUGUUCUAGUGUUAUAGCGUAACAAGCAACACUCUUUUCCAUACUAAUGAAAAUUUUGGUUUGUACAGUUUGCAUUGGCUAGAACAUGGUACACCCACUGCUGCAUGAAUAAUGUUAAAAAAUAUAAAACUUUUUAUAAAACUCUAGAGCGACAUAUUUUUAUAUGUUAAUUGCAUGUUUAUUUUGAGUAUGAUCCUAUUAAUUUGAAAAAUUUUAUAGUUUUUAUCUUUUAGAGAAUAAAUUUAAGACAAGAAAAUUUAAAGGCAAAAAGCGCGAAUUUAAAGAUAAAAUGGGCCAACAUGCUACAUAAGGAAAAAGAUGGUGCCAAAAAUGCAAAGUAUGGAAGAUACAUGGGUGAAGCCAGAAAAUUUUUUUAGGGGCGGAUGAAAUUUUAAUUUUUUAUAGUUUAUAUUUUUAUAAUUUGUGUAUAAACAGGAAAGAAGUGGGAGUGAAAUUACUACUGGUAAGUUUCCAUACCUUGCUAGUGCUGGCUUGAGCUUGCGAUUUGUUGAGCUUGAGACAUAACUCUUCAUAAGCGAACUCAUAAAAGAUGUCAUCCACAUCGUAAGCCAAAGUCCUGGAGAUCCUCCAACCAUUUCUUCACGCCCUCGUUCUUGAUCUGCUUCUCCUCUGCAUCGUCCAACACUGCUUGGAUAUCGGGCAAUAUGGACUGCCACUGCUUGAGCUGUGGGUGGAGCUACUUAUGAUCAGCAACAAAGUUGAGCGCAGAGUCGAGCAACUUGCCCCCCAACAGCUCCAGAAACACAGACAGAGCAGCCUCUCCAAUGACAGACAUGGUGAAAUUAUGAGAAGGAAGCAGAAGAGAGAAAUGAAGAAGCCAAAUGGAAAUUCAGGAACGGGAUGGAGAUUGUGUAUAAUCAGUGAAAGUUGAAAAAAUCAGAGUAGGAGGCAGUGAGCUGAUAGUCUGAUAAAUAAAAUAGAGCCCAAGUGGUUUUUUGGGCAGUGAAACGAAUAAAGAAGGCGAAAAAAGACAAUGGCUGAGUCGCCCACUCACCCAAAUUGUUUAUGAAUUUUGAUGCUUUUCUCCAUUAUCCCAAUUUCCAAGUAACAGACAAUGGUUGAGUUCCAUGGCAAUGGCAUCCAAUGCCCAUAUUUGUACUUUAAUUAACAGGCAAUGUAGCAAGCACAUGCCAGUCUUUGUUUUUGGGAAUGAAAAAAAAUUCAUCCCAUUUUUUUUUUUAAAUUUCCAAAAUUUCAUCCCAUUUUAAUUCUUUUUAAAAUGUAUAUUAUUUUUAAUUUAAUAUUUUCUUUUAUUUUGUUGGUGAAAUUUUUUAUUAAAAUUUAAAUAUAUCUUUUAAUGUUUACAUUAUAAUAUUAUAUAUUUAAUUUAAUUUUAUAUAAAUUACAUUCUAUACAUAUAUGAUAAAGUAAAAAAUGAGUUGGACUUAGGCAUUUUAAUUUUGGAGACCAAGCAUGGCUCAUUUUAAACAAGUUUAAUUUUUUUUGUUUAAACUUAUUUUUCAAGCCUUAUUUUUUUUUUAUCUAAACCCUUUCAUAUUUUGAGCGUAUUUAGAACAAGUCUAUCUACAAAAGAAAAGCUUGUGAAAAGCACAUAAUUAAUAAUUAGAAAUUGUUGCACAUGUAAAAGUAUAAUAUUAUAUAAAUUUAAAUUUUAAAAAUAAUAUUUCAUAUAUAAAUUUUAUAUUUUUGAGAAAUAAUAAUAUUUUAAAAAAGAUGGAUAGAUUUUUUUCUAAUAAUUAGAAAUUAGUGAAUAAUAAUGAGUAGCUUAGUUUUUGAGGAAAAAAAAUAAAGAAAUAGUCUUAAUUGAGAAAAUGAUUUUUUAAGAAGUUAGUUUACGAGUAGUGGAAUAAUUUAAUUUAUUUUAUAAAAUGUUGAAAUGAUAUAGUCAUCUCUAUAUUUAACAAAAUAAUAAUAUUAUAUUUUUCAUGCUUUUUUACCAAUUAGGUUUGUGUCACUCGACUUGAGGUACCAAAUUUAAUCAGAUCAUAGUAUAAAUAAUUAUCUUGUAAUUAUAUGUAUUCAAACUAACUUAAUUUUUAAAUCCGUCACCAAUCUUUAUAAUUAUUCUCUUUUAUAGUUAUAUUUUUACAUAAUGUUUUUAUAACAUUUGAGAUGAUCAUAA